rnacentral:lncRNA from 1 species
AGAAGGAGAAGGCCCCGGCGGCGUCGUCCAAGCCGGCCAAGUCCGGCGGCGGCAAGCAGAAGAAGAAGAAGUGGAGCAAGGGCAAGCAAAAGGAGAAGGUGAACAACGCGGUGCUGUUCGACCAGGCCACCUACGACAAGCUGCUCACCGAGGUGCCCAAGUACAAGCAGAUCACGCCCUCCGUCCUCUCCGAGCGCCUCAGGGUAACGCCCGCUCGCCAUCCUCCCUCCUUCUUGCUUGCUUUCUUCCCGUGAGAAUUGAGAUCCCGGGAUGGUAUGAUAUGUAUGUGUGUGAUGCGCCAUGGCUCCUGGUGAAGUUCUUCCAUGUGAAUCGUGAUUAUCUGUUUUGGGGUCAGUCAGUAGUACUCUGAACAAGGGCAUGAACAUACUACUAUAUGAUUAUGUUAUGAAUUGAUUGCGUGUCCUAUUGGAUGCCGGUUUUGGCUUCUCCAUCUGUGCCGAUAGUUUUUGUGCAGUGUGAUGCUCAGUUUAGUGCAUCCUCAGAUUUUGCUUGGUGUGCCAAUUGCAUAUUGUCAUAGAAAUUGCACAAUCUGAUUUUUACAUGUGCAGUAUACCCAUGUUUACCGUUUAUUCAUAGAUUUAAUGGUUGAUUCAUGGAGGUAAUGUGGUUGGUUGAUGCUGUUGAAUGCUUCAGUAACUUGUCUCCACAUUUUGCUAUCCACGGCUGUGCCUACAUGCCUUAUUAUUAGAUUGCAAGUUUGCAACUGUAGUAGUAUCAUGCAACGGAACAUAUGUUGUCGGUCUAUGAAUUGUUAACAUGGAUUACAACUAUUGAUGUGUGCACGGCAAGUGUUUGGCAGUUCCCCGUUUCAUGUAUGUAUGCGCUUCCUAUUUGUCAUCUCACUCAAUUUAAUAAACUGAACUCUUCAGGCAUGUACAUUUAUGCACACUACAAACUUGAUGAUCUCACCCUGCCUGUGGUUAUAUACCUGCAGAUCAAUGGGUCUCUGGCUCGCAGGGCUAUCAAGGACCUGAUGGAGAGGGGACUCAUCAGGAUGGUGUCAAUCCACUCAAGCCAGCAGAUCUUCACCAGGGCGACAAACACCUGAUUUAUCAUUAUCAUGUGUUCCAUGUCUGUUUUUAGUCCAGUAGACUGAGGUGUUGCUGUUAUAUUCAAGUUCACUAUGUCCAGGGGGGCACACUGUGCCACCAGUAAUGUUGAAUUGCUUUUGAGUUUUGGUACACUUUGAGAUCGUUUUGUCAGCGCAAUGAAAUCUACCUUAUAUAUUGCCCUAUUUGCUGCUGUCCAUGCUCUACGGUUGUUCCUGGGUGCAAGUAUUUUGGUGUGGUAAUGGUAUAUGGUUCCAAGGGUAUAGAGUUUAUCAUGUUUGUGUUGAAUGAUGCUGUGAGGCUAAUCUUGAGAUAGCGCUGUAUGAUGUUGAGGCGGAGAUAACCUGUAGUUUUUAUACACCUGCAGAAGUGGGUUGUUCUUGAUAACUGGCUGUCGCACAUAACACCAGAACACUACUAUACGCCCAAUCUUGGCUAGGCUUUGUGCUAAAUCAUUACGCUGCGUUUGGAUGUCUGUAUUGGAUUUGGUAUUGGGCAUGCAGCUUUCUAUGCUCACUCCAGUGGGGUUCAUUGGAGUAGUGCCAGCAAGAAAGUGCUCAAAGGUAUCAUAGUUCAUAGAUAUUAACAGGAUCCUUCUUGCAUCAAUUGGGUUGAAAAUUGAUGACCCUUGUAGCAUCAAUUGGAUUGAGAACAAGCGCUGUUCUGUUUAGCUCAACAGGAACGAGCCCUGGUCUGUAUCUCUGUUCUUCAGGUUCAGUUGUUCUUUCCUUAGUACUCCCUCGGUAAACUAAUAUAAGAGUGUUUAGAUCACUAUUUUAGUAAUCUAAACGCUCUUAUAUUAGUUUACAGAGGGAGUACUAUGUUUCCGUCAAAGUCAGCCUACUUAUGUUUCGCCUCAAUGUAACACUUCCAAGUGUGUUUGACAUAUAGUUAAUGGAUAAUUGCAACUGUGUGAUUUACAACCGGAAUGUCAUAGGGCUAAACAAUCCAGGGCGCCACAAGGUUGAACCUGAACCUAUCUAUUGUCUUAUCAAGUUUGGAACUAUUGUGUUGUUAAAUUUGGAACUGUCAUGUUUACCUUGAAGGUAAUUUAUGCGCAUGUGGUUAUGGCUAGAAGCAGUCGACGUGUAUAUCCAUGAAAUCUUCGAAUAGUAGCACACUCUAGCGCACUAAAUAUUGUGUAAGCUUUUGAUGUCUUUACCUAACAGCUUACCAUGUUUUGUUUUGUUUUUCAAAUUAGAUUAUAUUGAAAUGGGAAUCCACCGUGAUCCACGCAGCUCAUCUUUCCCUAUAUAUAUACUAAUAAAGCAGCGAUCGUGUCCCGGCGGAACCGGAUCCGACGAGGAUGGACGCCGGUGACGUGGGCGAGGAGGAGGGCUCCGGCGGCGGAGAACCUCCAGGCGGCGGCUGCUUGCAGUUCGGCGUCGGCCUCCUGUAGGUAACAGAGAAAGAGUGAGUUGGUGUGAGAGAGAGAGACAAGAAGAAGAGCCAGGGGAGGAAGGAGAAAGGGAGAAGGAAGAGAGGCAGGGCGGCCUGGAGGAGCUGUUGUUGCUGCGCAGGGACGAGGAGGAGGCACACGGGUCGGAGACGACGCGCGGGCAGGGGAGCUCCUACAUGGACGCCGUCGAGCUCGCGGCAAGGAGCAAUGACAAGCAGCAGCAGCGGUUGCAAGCAGAGGCAGCGGGCAGCAGCAGCAGAGGGCAGAAGCGGGAGGCAGCAGCGGCAACGGGCAGCAGAAGCAGAGGGCUGCUGCCACAACAGAGGUAUGUAUCCCCUUGAAAGCAGCAAGCAUCACUGCAUCAGCCUUCUGUUCUUUGUGUUCUCUGUAUAGAUGUGUAGUACUCCCUGAUCAACAGAGGGAGCAGUAACCAAGAAGCAGCAGGCUGCUGCUCUCCUCCCUGAUCCCCUGUAUAUGAAAUAGCAGUAGCGCAUGCGUGAAUGAAGCAAUCAAUUUCUGAAUUACAGACAGCAUACAGAUUUUCUGAAUCCAAACAAAAUGAAGCAUAUACCGUAGGUUGUUCUAUUGUUGAUCCAACCACAUGCUCUGUUUCUGCAUGCCAUGGAACCUUUAUUUUCAAAUCCCCUUUUUCUGCACGACAAUUGAAAAGAAUGCAGGAGUCGGAGAAUGAACAAAAUUGCUUUGAACUUCACAGCAGCAGACUAAAUUCCUAAAGGCAAAAAAAUUUUAGUACUACAGGAUAUACCUUCAGAGUUUAUGACAGUUCUAAUAAAUAUAUGAUGUUGAUUGGUUAGCUGAGUUAGAAGUAGAGCUAUUCAAAUAUAUUUACUCUGACAAGUGCAAAAAAUCCUUAUACUCCUAGCUAUAUGUUUAUCCUAUAUCUACUUCUCACAUUAUACAUAUGCUCCACUACAAAGGGGUCUAAAUAAUAACAUGAUUUUUUUCAGUUAAAGUUCCAAGCAACUUUCCUGUGUGAAUCUGAGAAUCUCACUAAAACCUGUGUUUCAUUGUGUAUAUUCAGCCUAUCGAUUCGAGUUUCAGACUGAUCAUAAACAUACCUCAGUUUAAGAUGUGAUGCUGAUUUGAUUUGUGUGCUGCACCAUUGUCCAUAUCUUCGAUUUCAAGCAGUUCCAUGGCAAAUCAAAUACAUUUUUCUUUGUUUAUGACAAUACAUAUUUGACAGGUUAAAGCAUGUACUAUUGUGUAUACUGAAGUGUAACAAGCCUUUCCCAGUAGUAAAACUGAAAGUAUAUAUAGCUUAUGUGUACUGUACUUUCGGUAAUAUAGAUGCCAAUAUCAUUACUUUUUUUAGUUAGGGGGUGGUGGUUAUUCACUCACAGUCAGGUUCAAUGCUCAUCAUGUUAUUUCCUUUCCAAAGAUACCUCGGUGUUCUAUGGUUAGAAAUAGAAGAUAGCAUACACGAGGCCAAAUCUUGACAUGAUUCAGUCAUCCACAUAUUCUAGAAACAACAGAUCAGAUUUAAACAACUAUCUUAGGAGUAGCAGACACAUCUACAUCUAUUACCUACUAAUAAAGCAAGAUGCAUUUCUCUAAAUUUCUAAUCCUUUCACCUUCUAAAAUUAUUAAAACCAAUCGAGCUAGCCCACCUCGGCUGCAAGCAAAGAUUGUUCUACAAUAGUCCCGCCUCGGUUUCUUACACACAAUUUCUCCAGUUCAUAUAUGUCUUUGAUUUUCUCGGUAUUAAGGAGCUAACUUGAAAAUCAAUGAGCCCAGGUUAAGGACCGACGUGACAGAGAAAUAAAGGAAGAAAAUUGCUUUGAGGACAACUGCAUCUCAAACGACAUGAGACGUGACAAAGAAGUAAAAGGGAAGGAAAGAACUAGGAGAAAGACCCUCGAUUAUUUAUAGGGACUCGAAUUGGAACACACAUGAUACAUGACAGAGAAAUAAAAAGGAAGGGAAGAAGUUAAAGAAAAACAUGGUGCAAGCUGUGCGAGCCGCCACCAGAAAUUGUAGCAUCUAAAUGAAAGACUAUUAUCAGGUUCUGUAUUUAUACCAUUUACAGCAACUGGUUUUUGUGCCUUGGGCUGUGAUCCUAAAAAUACAUUGAUGCAUAGUUCAUACAAAUACAAUUUGACGCUGCGACUGGUUCAUACAAUCAAUUUCUCUAAAAAAAAGGAAAGAAAACAAAUCAAGCAAUCUUUUGAAUUUAUGCAUUGUCACAUUGAACCAAAGUGUCUCUGAUGGCAGCGGGGUCGUGUGGUGUCGAGGUGCAGAGAGGAUUCCUCCUCUGGAAUCCUCUCUCCUCAUUAGGGAAAGGAUGUGUGGCCUCAACCACGUGACCAAGAGCUACUGCGUGGAGCCCGUGGCCGCCCACUUACCAAAAGGAGCUUGUGACACGAGGCAAACAUGUGGUACGCCGGGGACAGGAUAAACACGUACUAAGAGCAUCUUGAGCCGAAUACAGCAAAUUCGACCCCUCAAACAACAACGAAAGCACGUCCAUGGCACUGACUGGAUACCUCAAUUUAACUAAGAAAUCUAAUAAAUGCAUACUAUUACAUGACACGUAAAACCUAAUCGAAGUAGAGCCCAUACUAAGAGCAUCUUCAGCCGGAUACAGCAAAUCCGACCCCUCAAAUGCCUACGAGGACGCGUCCGUGGACACUGACCGGUCAUGCCUCAAAUAAUUUCUUCCACAACGGGAUACCUCAAUUCAAUUAAGAAAUUAAUAAAUCCAUACUAUUACGACACCUAAAACCUAAUCUAAGCAGAGCCUGUACGUCCGCCGUGUCCAUAUCCGACGGUCGACUGCACCCCUCAAAGUGUUGCUCCGGUCACCGGCGAGAUAGAAUAGGACAUGGGACAUGCACCGGCAUGCACCGGCUCGCAAGACUCAAGGUGCGGCCGUCUCCCAUGUCCCACUCUUCCUCGUCAGAGUCCAGAACCUUCGCGAUGUCAGUGGACGUGAGAUCGAUGAUUGAUCCGUCUUGGAAGGAGCCAGCGACGUCCACCAUGACGCGGUAGCGGCGCCUGGACUGGUACACCAUACCGGGCACCGGAUAAUGCAACACUGCCUCACGAACGUCCACUGUCACGAGGGCUUCCGUCGUCAUCGGGACACACCUCGCGGCAGAUCCAUGCGCCAUUUGGGUGGAAGCAAUGGAUCUCGAUAGAAAAAGUCUAAGCACUACCGUCGAGCGGCCUCCUCCAGGGAGCGGCGACGUCAUCUCCUCCUCGGGGCCCUGUGCAACGAGCACCGAAUCAAUGGAUCUGGAAGUGUAGGGCUCGAAUUCUCUACCUGCCAUGCCGGAGAAGGCCAAAAAUCGCCGGACGGGAGUUUGGGUGACGAAGUGGAGUGGAGUGGCAAGGGUUUGGCCCGAGGAGCGAAUAAGGAUAAAUUUAUGUGUGUCGGGUAGGUCAACGUGGGCCGUGAAGGGUGAGGUCUUUAGCCAUACUUAUUAGGUAAGGGCAUGUAGAGUUUGUUUUCUCCCGUUGCAACGCACGGGCAUAUUUACUAGUAGUACAUAACUAAAAGUUUUCCAUGAUUAGAAAAAAAUACUUAACAAAUUAUCAUCGGUUAAGCAUUUGGUUUCUUUCAGUUGGUUGGUGUAUACAAUUUUAGACAUGACCAUCGGAUAUAGUCUCACUGCGAAUCUGUGAGGAAGUAUGCAUUGCGAUACGAAGAGCUUCUACCGCCAUGACCGCCAGCAGUAGACCAUAUGCUUCAGCACGCGUGCUGCAUUAUUUCUUUGCCUAAUGGCUCUUAUUUGGGACAUUUGGGUUCUCUUUGAGUGAUUGAGUAGGUAAAGAAAUAAUUCAGCACGCGCGACCAAGACUACAGCAUGGGUGACCAAGGCUCUGGGGCAUGCGUGCCUUUUUUUUUCUCCUGAUUGAAAUCCAGCGUGGGAGGUUUAAGCGUGUAUAAGAGGAAUCUUUAUGGACGCGUGUCUUGUACUUUUUCUAUGGAACCGUAGAUGAGAUCUAUGUUAAGUCCCAUAUUGAAUCUAAGUCAUUGAAAUCUCACAGUUUAACAUUGAUGCAUCUUAAUCAUUAAUUUUCUACCAUUUUAAUAAUAUACUAGCAAAGGGUCCGUGCGUUACAACGGGAGAAUAAAAUCAUAAUCUCCACUGACCAUGAUCACAUUUUGCUGCAUCAUCGAGAUACAAUAUCACUCUCAAUUUAGUAAAAUGAUGUACAUUUUUCUAAACUCGUGAACAUAUUUGAAAUCGUGAACACUUCUUUAAUUCAUGAACACAUUUACAAAUUUUAAAAAACCGAGAACAUUUUUUGAUUUCAUGAACAUUUUAUACAUUUACAAACAUUUUUUUAAAGCUGUGGAAUUUUUUUAACAAUUCGUUCAAAUCGGCAAACAUAUCUAGAAUGGACGAACAUUAUUUUGGAAAUUUGUGGAACAAUAUUUGAAAGUCAAGAAUUGUUUUAGAUUUAACGAUUUUUUAUUUAACAAUCAUUUUUUAAAAUGCAUGAUCAUUUAUUGAACUAGAGAACAUUUUAUGAAUGAAUAAAAUAUUUUAUGAGUCAUGAAUAGUUUUUUCAAUUCUAGAAUAUUUUUCCAUUGAAGAACUUUUUGGAAUUGGCAAAACUUAGUUCAAUUUCGUUAACUUUUUUAAUACACGAACUUUCAAAACAAAUGAUGAACAUUUUUUUUAUUUUCCGAAGAUUUGGUUUCAAAACUCUGAACAUUUUUUUAUACGGAUUUCUUAUCAAAUCGUGAACUUUUAAAUCCGCAAACAUUGUAUGAUUUCUCAACAUUUUAUUUCAAAAUUCUCCUUUUCAAAUUUUUUGCAAAUUUUUCGACGUCCCAAAUUAUUUAUAGUAGAGAAAAAAACAGAAAAGUAAAUGGGCCGCUGGGACAUGGGCCGGCCAAAACGGGCGUGCUACAUCUACUCCCUGCAUGCAGAGCGCAGUAUAUCAUGUCCCUACAGCAUGGCCCGGCUCAGGCGGGGAUUCCCCUGUGUGAUUUUUUUUAGCACUUAUAGGUGGCAUUGGUAUGUCGAAAAAAACUGGCAUUGGUGGGCAAUAUUUUGCGACUUUGACGGAAAUUUUCGUGAAGUACCGCAAGAACCAAUAACCCCUUUAUUAUUACUAGCAAAAGGUCCGGUACGCUGCGACGGGAAACAAAAAUCUCAAAGGCCAUUGACUACAGUUUGUUGCAUCAUCGAGAUAUAUACUAUCACUCUCAAUUUCGUGAAAUGAUGAACAUUUUUUCAAACUCGUGAACGUACUUGAAAUUGUGAUCAUUUUUCAAAUUCAUGAAAAAAUUAUUAAUUUUUGAACAUUUUCUAAAAUCGAACAUUUUUUGAAAUCAUCAGCAUUUUAUUCAAUUCCCAUACACUUUUCUUAAAAUUGUGAUUAGUUUUUAAACAGGUUUCUUGAAUCGAGAAACAAUUCUAAAAUUGAUGAAUUUUUUGAUUUAACGAAUAUUUUUUGAAAUGCAGGAUCAUUUUUUGAAUGAUUGAACAUUUUAUGAAUGAAUAAACUAUUUUGUAAGUCACGAACAGUUUUUGAAUUUUGAAGAUAUUUUACCAUUUAUGAGAACUUAUUGAAUUGGUGAAAUUUGUUCAAUUUCAUUAAGAUGUUUUAGUACAAGAUUUUUUUUCCUGAAAAUCAUGAUAUUUUACCAUUUAUGAGCACUUAUUGAAUAAGCGAAUUUUUUUUACAAAAUCAUGAACAGUUUUUGUAUCCACAAUCAUUUUAUGAUUUAUUAAACAUGUUAUUUUAAAAUUAUCAUUUUUUGAAUUUUUCUAAAUUGUUUGAAGUCCUAAAUUAUUUCAACUAGAAAAAAGUAAAAAGUAAAAGACUAAAUUUUAAAAACAAGCCGUCCGGACAUGGUCUGGCCAAAACGAGUGCGCAUCAUGUUCUACCAGCGGGAGAGCACAAUAUAGGAGGUCCCUACUGCAUGGGUUGCCGUAGGAGGCUGAUUCCCCUGUGUAAAAUGUUUUUUUAUCACUUAUAUGUGGCGUUGGUUGGUAAUAUUUUGUAAUUUGAGGGCAAUUCCCACGACGUACCACCAGAAUCAAUAGCCCUUUUAUUAUUAGAUAUAUACAAACAAAAUAGCUCGUGCGCUGCGAUGGGAGAUUUUUUUUCAUAAUGUCUAAUGGCCAUGACCAUAUUUUGCUGCAUAAGUGACAAUCACUACAACUCUCAAUUUCAUAAAAUCAUGAAUAUUUUUCUUAACUCGUGCACAUAUUUGAAACCGUGAUUUUUUUUUCAAAUUUGCUAACACUUUUACAAAUUUUCAAAUUUUCUAAAAUCAAGAAUAUUUUUUGAAUUCAUGAACAAAUUAUACUAUUCGCAAACAUUUUUAAAGUUGUGAACAUUCUUUUAACAAUUCUCUUGAAUCGGCGAGCAUUUCUAGAAUGGAUGAACUUUUUUUUUUGGAUAUUGAUGGACAUUUUUUUGAUUGAACGUACAUUUUUUGAUUUAACAAACAUUUCCUGAGAUGCUUAAUUAAUUUUUGAAUCAGCGAACAUUUUAUGAAGGAAUAAGCUAUUUUGUAAGUUGCCGGUCAGUUUUUGAAUUUUUAGGAUAUUUUUGCAUUCAUGAUUUUUUUGAAUUUAUAAAAUUUUGUUCAAAUUCAUUACAUUUCUUUAAUACCUAAACCUUUUAAAAUACCAUGAACACUUUUUGAAUUCUCGAACAUUUCCUAAAAAAUACGCACAUAUUUCAAUUAAGCUAACAAUUUUAUAGAAAAUCACAAACAUGUUUUGAAUCUAAAAACAUUUGAUGAUUUUAUUUCAAAAUUUUGAUUUUUGUAAUUUUGGGAAUAUUUUGAAUUCCUAAAUUAUUUAAAGUAGAAAAAGGAAACAUAAAAUAAAAAAUAAAAAGGAAGUUUUAAAAACAGGCCACUAGGACAUGGACCGGCCCAAACAGGCACAAUGCGUCUUCCAACCCGAAGAGCGCACUAUAGGAGGUCCAUACUGCAUGGGUUUGGCCCAGCCGGAGGAUUCACCUGUGUGAAACAUUUUUUUACCACUUAUAGAUAGCAAUGCAAUGCUCAAUGCCCCAUAUGGAGCCAGUGAAGUAAAGGAUUGACUAUGGGGGCAAAGUACGUGGAUGGAUUGAGAGGUGCAUGGCUUCGGCCGGUAAGGAGAUUCUAGUCCGUGGCUCAAGCCGUCCCUACGUUCUCCAUGUCCUUUUUUCUCCUUCCAAGAGGUUUAUGCAACACAUUGACACGAUGCUGAGAAAAUUUUCUAGGACAGCAAGAACGUUGAGCAAAAGGUAGCAUGGGUUUCUGGGAUGUUCUAACUAUGCCAAAAUACCAAAGUGGGCUAGGCUUUAGAGAUACAGAACUUUUCAACCUUGCAAUGCUAGCCAAGCAAACCCGGAGGCUGAUUGAAGACCCUGCGUCUCUUAGUGCAUGGAUCUUAUGCUCGGUGUAUUAUGCUCAUGGUGAUGUGUUGCAAGCUGAACUGGGAAACCACCCAUCACAAGUAUGGGGGGCAGUGUGUGCGGGUGUCAUCGUUUUGAAACAGGGGCCUAUAAAACGUGUUGGCUAUAUAAGCUUUGGGAGGACAAUUGGAUCCCACGAGAUUUCAUGUUAAGGGCCCUUCGCCCGAGGAGUCCAAAUCCUCUAAUCCUGGUGUCUGACUUGAUCGAUGGAGCAAUGAAAAUUUGGAAUCAUCAAAAGGUCCGGGAACAUCUUCAACCUCCGGAUGCUCAAGUUGUGUUGAACACCCCUUUAAGCUCGCAUAAUCUGGAAGAUAGUUGGGCAUGGAACUACGACAUGAGCAGGUUUUUUACUGUUAGAUCAGCUUACCGGUUGCUGAUCGAUACAAAAUAUAGGAGGGAGGCAUGGCUUGAUGGAUGACCUUCACCGUCAAACACAAAAGAGGUGCACCAGGAGUGGAAGAAGCUUUGGAAGGUUAAGGUUCCUGGAAUGUGAAAAAUUUCGUGUGGCGACUUGCACGAAAUUCAACCCCGACAGAGGUAGUUCAUCACCAAAGGAAUAUGACUGACUCUAACGUGUGUCAGAUAUGCAACAAUGCUAAAGAUUCAUGGCGUCAUGCAUUACUAGACUGCAACAAGUUAGAUGAAGAGCUGGUUGAACAUAUCAUUGCUUGUGGGCAUGCUGAUGCGAGGCUGUGGUUGAUGGAGCUCAUGGAAUCAACAAGGGAGGAGAAAUUCUUUCAGAUCCUGAUUGCUCUGUGGGCUAUAUGGUCGGCGCGCAGGAAGGAAAUACAUGAAUAUAUUUUUCACUCACCUCUCACCAUGUUUAAUUUUAUUCAGAAGUUCCUUGGGGAUCAAUUUUUAAUUCCUCGAAGGGUGGCCAUCUUAGCAAGUUCUUCGGCUACAAUUCGGUGACAAGGGAGAAGUUGGAGAGCCCCUACCCAGGGAUGCAUGAAGCUAAAUGUCGACGCUACAGUUAGCAGGAACCAAGACAAGGGGUCAUGUGAUGUCAUUUGUAAGGAUGACAGGGGUCCUUUGUUGGAGCAUCUGUGUUAGUAACACAUGAUUUUGUCCAACCAGAAAUUCUUGAGGCGAUGGCCUUUAGUGAGGCUCUUAAUCAGGCUUCUGAUCUUUACCUGAGCAGAAUCCAUAUUGCUACCGAUUGUGCUGCAACUAUAGCUCAUCUUAAGGGCGCGUACAUGGGUCCAAACAUGGCGAUUUUUCAAGAUAUAAAGAUGAAGAUGGAAGAAUUCGUCCAAGUUCACUUUGAGCAUGAGAAGAGAGAGCACAUUUGGGAGGUGCAUGACCUCGCAAAGGCUUCUGUUACCCUAUACCUAUGGGGUGCCAUGUGUGGCUAGUAGAUCCCCCCGAUUUCAUUUGUAUGCCAUGUAAGGUCUUGGUUGAAUAAUAUGGGGUGACAUUUCUCAAAAAAAACUUAUAGAUUGCAUUGAUGGAUAAUAUUUCACAACUUUGGAGGCAAUUUUCAUGAUGUACCGCCAGAAGCAAUAACCCCUUUAUUAUUAUGUAUAGACUAGCAAAAGGGCCAGUGCGUAACAAUGGAAGAAAAAUAAUCAUAAUCCUCAAUAUCCAUGAUAAUAUUUUAAACUCGUGAACAUUUUUAAAAUUCAUGAACACUUGCACAAAAUUUUGAACAUUUUCUAAAAUCAAGAAAAUUUUGAAUUCAUGAACAUUUUAUACUAUUCGUAAAUAUUUUUUAAAAUUGUGAACAUUUUUUUAACUUUUUUCUUGAACCAGCAAACAUUUCUAGAUUGGACGAACAUUAUUUUGGAAAUUUAUGGAAUUUAUUUUGAAAGUCAGGAAUAUUUUUUGAUUUAGUGAAUAUUUUUUGAAAUGCAUGAUCAUUUUUCGAAUCAGCGAACAUUUUAUGAAAGAAUAAACAAUUUUGUAAGACACUAACAAUUAUUUUAGGUUAUUUUUCUAUUCAUGGACUUAUCUGAAUUGGUGAAUUGUGUUGAAUUUCAUUAUUAUUUUUUAAUACAUGAACUUUUAUAAAAAUCAUGAACCUUUUUUUGAUUUCCUAAACAUUGUUUUUUCAAAAUUUCAAACAUUUUUUAAUAAGCAUUUUUUUUAUAAAAUCACGAACAUUUUCUGAAUCCACAAACAUUUUAUGAUUCAUUAAACAUUUUAUUUCAAAAUUCUCAAUUUUUAAAACUAUUGGAACUUUCUUGAAGUCCCAAAGUAUUUAAAGUAUAAAAAAUGAAAAGAAAAAAAAAGGCCGCCUGGACAUGUGUCGGUACAAACGGGUGCGCCGCGUCUUUUCCCAGCGCGCAUAGUGCAAUAUAGCAGGUCCCUACUGCAUGGGCCGGAUCUGGUAGGGGAAUCCCCUUUGUGGAACAUUUUUUUAUUAUUUAUAGGUGGCAUUGGUGGAUAAUAUUUUGCAACUUUAGAAAUAACUAGCAAAAAAACCCGUGCGUUGCAAUGGAAAAGAAAAUAACACACGUUCUUAACCCAAUAACCAUGACUCAAGACCUUAAUAGGCCCGUGUCUUUUAGUUUCACAUGGCAUCACAUUUGUAUUUCCUCUAUACUCACACACUCGCUCGAAAAAAAAGCCCAUGCAUUGCAACGGGAAAGAAAAUAACACACACUCUUAACCCAAUAACCAUGACUCAAGACAUUAAUAGGCCCACGUCUUUUAGUUUCACAUGGCAUCACAUUUGUGUUGCCGACAGUGAACUCUGUGCUCACACAAUGAAAACACGUUUGAAUGUGGUUAGUCUUAAUGUCUCUCUCUUUUGCGCGCGCGCACAUGCGCACACUCGCUUGGAAUAAGAUAAAAAGUAUGUUGUUUUUUUCCUGCAAGGUUUUUCAUAGUUGUGCAUGCAUGGUUCUCGAUGUUUUUUUCUCUCACUCUAGUUUUAAUAGAUGUUUAUUUGCAAUUUGAAUAACCGACGGUACAAAAAAAAACAGACCGUACACUAUAUAUUAAGUUUGCACCAAAAAUUAUAUUUUAGAAAUAUUUAACAGCUAAAAAUAACUUCAUAUUUAGAUUCUACAUAUUUUUCUAAUCAAGUUUCAUAUAUAACAUGUUAAAAUUUAAGUUACGGUUUAAAAGAUAUGAAUAAUCUUAUUUUACAUAAACUGUAGAUUGAUUAACCGAAACGUCAAGGAGUUUUCUGUUAAAACUAAAAAAACGUUUCGGCUGACUUAAAUAUGGACGGCGGGUUGAUUGUCUAAAACGUCAGGGGUUUUCUGAGAAAAUGAGAAAAACGAUUCGGUUAUAACUUAAACGUAUACUGCGGGUUGAUUUACAGAAAACCGAGGGGUUUAUUUGUAAAAUGGCGUGACGGACGACCAGAAACAAUCCGUGCUUUAUUAGUAAGGUAAGAUAAGAUAAGAUAAGAGGUAAGAUUUACGUGACGUACCGCAAGAAGCAAUAACCCCUUGGAUUUUAGGUGAUAUAUAGAUAAACAUAGACUAUUAGGUAGGUAUUCGGUGUAGAUAUAUAAUAGAUGAGUCAGGUUCAUGAGUUAUGAUAAACCGUAUGUAUAAUCUCUAGCACAAUCACUAAAAAAAACACUAGGAUCUGCAGCUUUAAUUAGUACUUCAAACAUUAGCGCUGCCUUCAAGCUGUCGUUAGUCACUGGGUCAUUUGGUUAGCAUCGGUUUGAUGCAUGGCCAGGUUGUUAGUUCGACACCCGUCGCAAGCGCUUAAGCGUGUACUUUGCCCUAUAUUCUAAAUAUAUUAAACCUACCUAGGAUUCUUACAGGGGGAGGAGGGCGUGUGCAUCUCAGGGUGGACCUAGCCAUUAUGCGCAAAGGCGUGGACUCAUCCAAAAGUAAUAUAUUUCAACAUAGACCAAGCAUUCAGUGAUGCAGAUCUUGGGCUUGCAACAAUAAACUACUAAUGGGAAAUAACUUGGUCUACCUAUGUAACCUUGCGAUGCUUGCAAGACAAGCUUGGAGACUAAUUCAGUGCCCUGAAUCUUUGUGUGCAAGGGUCCUUCGAGCCAAGUACUACCCAAACAAUGACAUUCUUUCUGCUGCUCUAGUCACGAAUAUGAGUUAUAACUGGAGAAGUAUUCUCAAAGGUUUGGAGAUUGUGAAAGAAGGGUAUAUCUGGAGAAUCGGAUCUGGCGAGAGGGCGAGGAUAUGGAUUGAUCCUUGGAUUCCUAGGGAUAUGUCAAGAAUGCCUUUAACAGGACAAGGUGCCACCUACUCACACGUGUUUCAAAAUUGAUCAAUCCGGUCUCACACUCAUGGGAUGUUGAUCUUGUGAGGUAAACAUUCCAGCAAACAGAUGUACAAAAAAUCUUAAGUAUUCCUUUGUGCGAACAAUACGACGAUUUCAUAGCGUGGCAUUUUGACUCGAAGGGUUUGUUUUCAGUCAAGCCGGCUUAUUAUGUACACACUGAGAUGAUGCAGAAGCAAGCUUACAGACCGGCGGGUGAAGCGACAAGUGGUAAUGGGUGGAGACAUGCAGUCUGGAAGGCUCUUUGGAAUGUCAAAUGUCCCGGGAAGGUACACCAUUUUAUGUGGAUGUUGGGGCCACAACAGUCAUCCUCUCCAUAUGAAUAUUCAGAGGCGAGGUGUCGAGCUUGACACUAGAUGCACCGUAUGCGGCGGUUAUUUUGAAGAUGGAGGUCACUUCUUUUUUCGAUGCAAAUAUGUCAAAGCAUUGUGGAGAGCUGCAGAACUGGAAAAUGAAAGAAGAGCUCUGAUGCAACAACCAACUUCCCUGGAAGUCCUUGAGGGCAUCUUUGCCCUGGAGGAAGGGAAGAAACUGGAAGUGAUAUGCCUCUUGUGGAAACGGUGGACAGGAAUGAACAAAGUAAGGCAUGAUGAGAGAUAGACUGGGCUGGUAGUGUUUGCUGCUUAGCUAAAUCUGACUGUUAAUGCGUGGACAGAUUUUUUCUCUCCUCUGGUGAAACCUAACGUUGCAACAAAUCCCAAAUGGAAGCCACCCCCUUCAAAUUGGGUUAUGAUUAACUCAGAUGCAGCUUAUUUUGAGGCAACAAGGGAAGGUGGAUGGGGCUGUAUAGCUAGAGAUUCAAAGGGAGAUGUUUUGUUUGCAGCAGCCGGGAAAUUAGCAGGCCUUUCACAGGCUAUUCAUGCGGAAGCUCUUGCAAUGAUGAAGGUUAUAUCUCUUGCGGAGGGAUUUGGGAUGGGUCGUGUCAUUUUCUGUACCGACUACCACCCGCUCAAGCAUGCUGUGCUGCCUAGCUCUCUAGAUAGAGCUAGUCUGGGAAUCCUCUACCGUGAAAUUAAGUAUUUGCUGCAGAUGGGUUUCAUAGAUACCAAAGUGGAGUUUUGUCCACAUAUUUGUAAUGCACCAGCUCACACGCUGGCAAGUUUGGGUGUGAGUAGUUUAAGUGAGAACCACCAAGUGUGGACCUCCAAUUUCCCCACUGAUGUAAUCGGUGCUGUGGCCGGCAAUUUGUCCGUGACCACUAGCUAUUGGAAUGCAUGUUGUUCCUCGUCAAAAAAAGAAACCAAAAAUUGAACAAAAAUACAUUUUUAUUGUUCUUUUCUUUUUUAUUGAGGUUCAUGUCCACUACAUUAUUUCAUAUUGUGAAUUUUCCUGGUUCAUGCAUACUUUUUUUAUUUUUACAGUUCUUUGUGAUAUUGACCUAUAAUACAUCAUCAUAAUAAAAAAAGGUUGGUAACCUAUAUGGGGUCAAUGGGGUGGUACCAACAUAGGGCUGCCAUCUUCGUGACACACAACACGUAUAACACAACACUCAUUAAUAACAUCAUGGUCCUUGCAUCCUAGCUUAGUUACUUUUGUUGUUUCUUCAGGUUUAAUUCUUUGGGGUCAGAAUCAAUGUAUUGAUUUUUGAUCGCCAAGCCUCAUUGUGAUAUGAGCCCUAGAGGUUAGGGUAACAAAACUGAAGCCUUCAGUUUAAUUCAGUCUGAAGCAAUGCUUGUUUUAUGUAAUAAAAUUCCACUUUUCAAAGUGCCUUAUUCGUCUAUUCUAGCUUAAUUGUAAUAUAAGACAAUCUAGUAAGUUGUCCAUCAUGUUACAUAUGCAACUAUUUGGGUACACUUUUAGUUAGUUUUAUUCCCUCAUACGCAAGCAGGGCAGACGGGGACAACAAAUAGAUACCUUGCCUAAUAGUGCUUUUUGAGGUUUUCUUGAAUAAGAGAAAGAAACACUAAUACAUCAAAGUAAAAAGAAAAGGGAAAGAAAAACACAGUACUAUGCUUUAAUAUAACCAACCGGCCCACAUGAAUGAUUCUUGAACGCUCCGAGUAAAGAAAUGAUGUUCAAACUGGCAACCAAUCAAACAGUCGGAAAAGUAACACACGAGGAUUCCUUUUACAGCGUAUGUAAUUUCAACAUGAAGUAUAUCGACAGAGCUUCGUAUCAUUUCAUUACAGGCACAAACCCAGCGGGCUGUCGAACAAGGAUGCUAUGAAUUACCAAAGAACCAAAAAUUAAUCAUGCAAUAUCAAUAUGUAUUCAAUUUAUCUACAAUGUACCGACUCUUUUCAUUCAUUAAAGCUUUUCUUUAUGACAUAUUUCAGCAUCGGUACCAAUAUGAUUUUUGUACAUACACCAUAACAUAAAAAGUUAAGUGAACAAGCAAAAACAAAACAAUUAAUAGGAUAACUAAUGGGUAAAGUUUAAUAUCACCAUAUACAGAUUUUAUCACAUAAUGUAUCAAUAGGCGCGGCGUGAUGCCGCGCGGGCAUAGCUAGUAUUUAUUUAUUACAUACUCCCUCCGUAAACUAAUAUAAAGUCUUUUAGAUCACCAAAUGGAAUGUGUUAUUUUGAGUGUUUUUUUCAGUCCUCAAGUAGCUUGAGCAAGGUCUUUCUCGGGCAAUGCAUGUGCUCAUCCUCUUGGAUGUCUAUCUUUUGUUUUGUGGGAAAAACUUCUGAUCUAUUCAUCAACUACUAAUGUAGUACAAAGAACAACAGAAGUAAAAAUCACAUCCAAGUCCAUAGACCACCAGCUAUGACUACAAGCACUGGAGUGAGCCAUAGAUGUGUUGCCAUUAGCGCCCCUACAUCAUCAGAGUCGGACAAGCGUUGUUGUAGUGGACAACCAGAAAGUCGUCAUGCUAAGGCGUGAGAGGACCAACACACCAAAAUAACAACGACCAUCGAUGAAGAGAAGUAUAGAUCGAAAGGAUCCAACUUGUAGACACAUGAAUAUAAACGAACAAAGACAUGAUCCAAGCGGAUCCAACAGAGACAAAUGCCGACUGAAUCCCGCGAGAUCCACUGUGAAACAAACCUCCACAAGCCCUCCGACAACGUGAGAAAAGCACCACCGGGAUGGGAGCUUGGCGGGGAGAACCUUAUUCUAUCUUCAGGAAGCCAACACCACCUCGCCUUUCUCAGCAGGACACAAACUCUACCAAAAAUUCAAAAGUACCAAAAAAUGGAGCCCUUCUGCCGGUAAGGAUCAGGAUCCACCUCGUCUUCAUGUCCCUAUGGCACAGGAAACGAGGUAGGCCGGCGACUGCAUGGCGGGAGGCAGUGAAAACCCUAGCAUUGGGUCCCUUUGCGUGAGUAGCGAAAGAGGUCUAGAGUUUCAUCUAUACGCUUUAGUCAAAUAACUUCAUUCGACAACCAAAAACAAAUAGGGUUCUAAAAUAGAAAAGUAUUUUAUUUUGCAACAAUUGAUAAUUUCCCUUAGGAAAUCUGUCCUUAUCAUGUUCUUGCCUCGUCCUACAGGUCAACCUGCUGGUCAAUUGGCUUCAUUUCCGCAAACUCCAGUUACAUACUAGCCAUUGACAUCUAAUUAACCACCUAGGGUUAUGAGUUUAGGGUAGGUUCAUUAUCAAGACAUGCAGGCUAUCCAUUCAUUGAGGAAAAUUCAGUUCAGCUUCUUACUUUAUGACCAGGUAAUGUCCCUGGUCAACUCUAGUGUGCUCCUGUAAAUUAGUUUUUCCAUAAAGGAUGGAUUUUAUUUAACUCAAAAUGAAGCACCAAGGGAAUACAAACACAAUUAGCACAUACCCGGCCUCUGCAUAGCUAGAAUGGACACAACUAAUACCAACUCACACACACAAAAAACAUGCUGGCAAAUAGCAAAGUCCUAUAAGACCAAAGCUAUGCCUAAGCGAGAAAAAAACUGAGAUUAACAAAUCCGUGAUUGACAAACUACAACUUUUAUCAUACCCGCACCAAUCACCUCAUGGUAGUAUAAAGACAAUGAAGGGAGCGGCGCUCAAGCAUUGCCAUUACCAGAGCCAACAACCAAUGGCCAAAUUCUAGUUUUUUACCUUGAAGAAUCAAUUCGAGCAUGUCCGAGCAAUGCCUUCAAAAAGGUAAUGAUGCAAAACAUCGCCAUUGCUAGUUAUAACCAAACUGGGAUAAACCUAGGUUUUCACCCCGGAGCUUGUUGAAGUCAAUCAUGUGUUGUCGCCACCACUUUUCUGCGAUCCGAGCAACUACAUUAGUUAAAGGGGCAUGCUUCAUUACGCACCUUUUUUUUAAAAAAAAGAGUAGUUUUGUCUAAUGUUAGAUGCUAGGUUUGUUAGGCUAGCUACACAAAGAAAUCCCUAUUCGUUAGGGGCGUUUUCUUCGGGUUCCACGGCCUAGGAGCAUGUCAUGCAAUAUCAAAACUUCGUAAUUACAAUUGUACUAGCUAAUUGCCCAUGCAUUGCAAAGGGGCAAUGUAAAUUCUAAUGGUUCAACGCCAAUCAUGUCGGACAUAUACCUCACACCCACCAUUCUGGAUCUUGGUAGGAUUUUAUUUCAUUUGAGUUCUGAUAGGGGAAGGCAAGAAUUUUUGCCAUUUAGUCGAGGUUUUAGUAACAUUUGAUUUGGUUUGGGUAUGGGUAGGGAAAUACAAGGAUAGUUUAGGUUUUGGUUUGAUUUAAUUUGAUUUGGUUGAGUUAAUACAGGGCAUGGGGGCCGUAUAGGUGAGAAACACCAAAUUGGGUUGGGGGUGGGGGUGGGGGGUGGUGGAGGCAAGAGCGAACGUACAACAACCAACUCCCAUAUAAUAGUAGAAAUUUAGUUUGUUUUGCACCAAGAACCAUCUUUCUCACAUAUGUGCUCUAAUCUACAAAAGAAAAACUUGGUGAGAAAAUCAAAUCUCAAUUCGCUCGGAUAUAUUACGAGUAGCCUACUAUUUUCAUGUCACUUGAUAAUAAGUUUCGCCUAAGCAGCUGGACAUGAUAAGCCUAUGAUAGACAUUCCUUGUAUCCCUGAAAAGGAUAUUCCUCUUGUGGUUGCUUUUCCAUUACUGUUUUUUUAUCGUGUUUAAUUUGCACUGUGUCAGCUCAUUACCUCACAUGUUGAUGCAUGUGUGGCCGUUAUAGUGGCCGUGAGUUUAGGUCCAAACUGAUAAAUACAUAUGGACUAAUGUGUAUGUCUUUUUUCCAGGAAACUGUCGAUCUAUUCAUCUCCAAUCAUGGCAGUAUAACAAACACCAGAAAUAAUAAAGAUUACAUCCAGAUUCAUAGACCACCCAGCGACGACUACAACCACUGAAGCGAGUGAAGGCACGCCGUCGUCAUCGCCCCUCCAUCAUCAGAGUCGGGCACAACUUGUUGUAGUAGACAGAGUCUUCGUGCUAAGGCCCCAUAGGACCAAUGCACCAGAACAACAACCGCCGCCGAUGAAGAGAAGUUUAGAUCGGAAGAAUCCAACCUGAAGACACAUGAACAAAGACGAACAAAGACCGGAUCCGAGCGGAUCCACCAAAGAAAACCGCCGAUCGAAUCUCGCGAGAUCCGCCGGAGACACACCUCCACAUGCCCUCCGACGAUACUAGACACACCAUUAGGACGGGGGUUAGACGGGGAGAACCUUAUUCCAUCUUCAAGAAGCCGCCGCCGUCUCGUCUUCUUGACCAGGAGACAAAUCCUAACAAAACUUGAAGAAGCACCUGAAAACGGAGCCCUCCCACCGGCAAGGGCCGGGGUCCACCGCCACUGGUAGAAAAAGGGCCUAUAGUCCCGGUUCGUAAGGGCCUUUAGUCCCGGUUCCUGAACCGGGACUAAAGUGUCGGUACUAAUGCCCUGUACCUUUAGUCCCGGUUCAAUCCAGAACCGGGACUGAUGGGCCUCCACGUGGGCAGUGCGCAGAGCCCAGGCAGGAGACCCUUUGGUCCCGGUUGGUGGCACCAACCGGGACCAAUAGGCAUCCAUGCGUCAGCAUUUGUGGCUGGGGUUUUUGUUUUUUUNNNNNNNNNNNNNNNNNNNNNNNNNNNNNNNNNNNNNNNNNNNNNNNNNNNNNNNNNNNNNNNNNNNNNNNNNNNNNNNNNNNNNNNNNNNNNNNNNNNNNNNNNNNNNNNNNNNNNNNNNNNNNNNNNNNNNUGGGGGUUUUGGGGGGUUAAUUUAGGUGUUUCAUAUAUUGUGUUAGCUAGCUAUAAUUAGUAGAGAGAAGUGUCCUAUCUUACGUCCGUGCUUGGUCGACGCUACAUACUAUACAUAUGUAUAGAGAGGACUAGACACGCUAGUUAGCUAGUAAGCAAACGAAGGAAACAGAAGAUCGUCAUGAACAUAUAUGCAUACAGAGAGAAGUGAUAUCGACCACCUCUCCUUCUCCGAGAGAUUGGUCGAACAACAAGUUCUCGUAUAUCUAUCCGACACUAGCGGCUACAUAUAUACAAUAAUUAUCUCUUACAAAUAUAAUCAUACGGACUCAUGGUCCACAUAAUAUUCUCCGUCUUCAGUGAUCACUUGGUCAAGAAAGAAUGCCGCCAAUUCCUCUUGAAUUGCUCGCAUGCGAGCUGGUGCUAGGAGUUCAUCCCGCUUCCGAAACAUCUAAUUUGAAGAAGGGGGUCAAUACAUAUAUAUAUAUGAAUGAAUGAAACUAAAUACAAAUGAUGGUAAAAAAAUAAAAUUGUGAAUGUUGUUAUUUACGUACUUCAUAUUGUUCGUCAGAGUACCCGCCCCGCUCACAGGUCGUGUGGCGGAUGGACUCGCAGACGUAGUAUCCACAGAAAUUAUUCCCUUUUUUCUGCCACAACCACUUUACAAGAAAUAGAGGUCAAUCAAACUGAUAAGCAAGAAUGCUAAAUGGUAUUGAUGAAACUAGCGCUUGAAUCACUAGGAGAUGCGCGGAACAUGCUACUAUAGUACUUACUUUCGGGUGUCUAAAUUCCAGCUCCUUCGGCAGUCCCGGAACUGUUCUGGUGAAUUUUCUCCAAACCCUGCCGGACAAAGAAAACAAUUACUUGAUAUCAGGAAAUGAACAAAGUUGCUGAUAUGGUGGAUAAUGAUCGAUUUAAUUUACUUCUUGAGGAUUUCAGUCAUGUCCGCAUACUCCUGGGGAUCUUUUCGUUUAGAGUCCAAGACGGUUACUACUCCCUGCUCAAGCCUAAUCUCUAGGAGAAUAUAGUGGAAACUGCACACGCAUGCAUAACUCAUCAAUUACAUUACUAUAACCUGGACUAAUAUAUAAGGGAAACCAAAUAUGCACAAGACAGUAACACUCACUUGAAUUUGUAAGGAAAGAGUAUUAUAUCUUUGUUUUCAUUUUUUUGAAUGAUCAUAGCAAGUUGGCCUCGGUAUCUCCGGGACGAUGUUGAACCUCAGUUGCAUCUAUGAGAUAUGUGUUAAUGAACCCAAUAUCACCGAUUUGUCUUUUCUUCAAUUCGGCGAUCUUCAUUCUGCAUAAUAUAGUGAGGAUAAUUAUAAAUACAUGCAAUGAAAGAGAUGAGCUAUAUAGAGAGACUUAAUGACAGAAGUAGUAGUACUUACAGACAGUAGCAGGUGAUCGUUGUUUUAUCGAGGGCCAAUUGAUUGAAAAACUGAUAGAACUCCUCAAAUGGAAUAGGCAACAUUUCAAUUCCAACGAGGUCAUGCUCUGGUUUAACUCUCGCAUACAAAGUACUCCUCCCCCAAGACUCUCUGCAAAUUUUCAAGUACCAAUCAUGUAAUCUUCGCAUCAUCGUUGUUAAAGAUUUUUCAUCUUUGACGAGAGGCUUCCCAUACUCGUAUCUGUGUAUCCGCACCUCCAUGGUAUCAUAAUGUACAUCGUCGGGCAGGUAAUCGUCAACAUUGCCAUAACCGGGCACCAUCCUCGGAUCGACGAUGUCGCUAGGCACCUUGAGGGGGGGGGCACGAUUGCUUUGCUUGUUCGCCGAGCUGGGCAAUUUGUUUCCCGGCUGCUCGUCGUUCUUUCAGCCUUUGAUCACUGACUGUACUUCCCGACCGCUCCGCUUCGGCCCAUGUCUUUGCAAUAAUGCGCUCAUAGUUGCCUUUCGGCAGAGACUUGGGUGGCUUUGCCAGGGCAGCCAGAGUGCGCUUCACUUUCACCGGAUCUGCCUUCUCCUCCGGAGGUGGCGCGAUCUCGGCGUUCUCCUCCGGGGUCCUCUCAUAUGGUAACUUCUCUGGAGUCUUCAAAGAAGGACCGAAUCUGUAUGUCCUCCCGCCUCUGGUUGUACUGCUAGAUGCCGACCGAGCAGACGGAGCAGUUGUAUUCUUUACUUGCUUACGAGGCGGAGGAGAAGGACUACGACGCGCCGGAGCAGCUGGAGCGGCGGCAGGUCUCUUCCGCCCUUGCCGACGAGGCGGAGAAGGAGGAGGCUGGCUGCUCGGGCGCGUCAGUGCAGGCGGAGAAGGAGGCGGAGUGCCGCCAGAGAAGGAGCCGGCUGAGGGCCCUGAUCGUCACUCGCCGGAGGAGGAGGCGGUGGAGGAGGCGGAGUGCCCUGACUCGCCGGAGGAGGAGGAGGAGGCGGAGGCGUCCAGUUCGGAAGGUUGAUGAGCUCCUUCCGCCAUAGGCAUGGAGUAUUCAGAGCAGACCCCAGCCGAGUCUCCCCUUCACCGGUAGGAUGGUCAAGCUGGAGGUCCUCAAAUCCCUCCGUUAUUUCAUCCACCAUCACCCUAGCAUAUCCUUCUGGAAUCGGCCGGUAGUGAAAAGUUGCGCCGGGUUCAGUAGGAUAAACAGAGCCAACAGCCGCCUUGACCUUCAAAUUCAUCCAUUGCGUCAUAAGGUGGCAAUUUUGAGACUCCGUGAUAGCAUCCACGGGAUAGCUGGCAGGAGCCAUCAAGGCAUGCUCCGGCUGAAGCAGCUCGGUGGAAGCCACGCUGCUUCUACGCUGAGAUGGCGGGGUAGCUUCGGGGGAGGCUUCGGCAGUACGUUUGCUGCGAUUUGCUUCUCGUUCCUCUAUCGCGUCUACCCUUGCUUGCAGCGCCUGCAUUUGGGUCUGCUGCACUUUUUUCCUCCUCUCAUGGGAUUUGUAACCGCCUGCGUCCGGAAACCCAACCUUCCACAGAAUGGAGCGUGGCGUGCCUCGUGUCCGUCCAGGGUGCUCAGGAUUCCCGACGGCCAUUGUGAGCUCGUCGUUCUCUCUGUCUGGAAAGAACUUCCCUUGCUGUGCUGCUUCGAUAUACUGCUUAAGCUUCCUGACUGGUAUGUCCAUUUGAUCAUUCAUCCAAAUGCACUUCCCUGUUACAGGGUCCAAGGUUCCGCCAGCCCCGAAGAACCAAGUCCGGCAAAGGUCUGGCCAACUAAUUGUCUCUGGUUUGAUCCCUUUAUCAACCAGAUCAUUCUCAGUCUUGGCCCACUUAGGCCGGGCUACGAGGUAGCCACCUGACCCCGUGCGAUGGUGAAGCAUCUUCUUCGCAGCAUUUUGCUUGUUUGUCGCCGACAUCUUCUUACUCUUUUCUGAUGUCUUGUGGGCCACAAAUGCGGGCCAGUGAUCUCUGAUCUUCUCAUAUCUGCCCUUGAAUUCUGGUGUCUCAUUAUUUUCGAUAAACUUAUUCAACUCUUUAUUCCACCUCCUGAAUAGUUCUGCCAUCCUCUUAAGAGCAAAAGACUUGAUUAAUUUCUCCUUAACUGAGUUCUCUGGAUUAUCCUCUGGCAGUAGGGUGAAAUUUGACUUCAGCUUAGUCCAAAGAUCAUUUUUCUGCAUAUCAUUGACAUAAGACACCUCAGGGUCUUCUAUAGCCGGGUUAAACCAUUGCUGGAUGCUUAUCGGGAUCUUGUCCCUAACCAGAACCCCGCACUGAGAAACAAAUGCGCUCUUUGUCCGGAAGGGUUCAAUCGGUUGGCCGUCGGGCGCAAUUGCUAUGAUCUCAAACUUUUCAUUCGAGCUCAACUUUUUCUUCGGGCCUCGUCUCUUUACCGAAGUUGUGCUCGAUCCGGAGGGCUAGAAAAAAGAAUAAAGACUUAAUUAAUAUGUGUACAUACCAAAACAAUGAAUGCAUCAAUCAGCUAGUCAGCACAGGCUUAACUAAUAUAUAUACCUGGCCGGACUCGGUUCGGUCACCGGAGUCGUCAUCACGGUCUCCUUCUUGCACCGGCAUUGGGUCACCGGAGCCGUCCUCAUGUUCUUCUUCUUGCACCGGCAUUAGGUCACCGUAGCCAGCUUGUUCACCCUCUCCUUCCAGACCAUCGGUUUCGUUGAGAAACAACGAGACGGCAUCACUUCCUUCUGCGAUUAUGUCCCUCAACAACGCUUCUUUUGCUUUGUCUAGGGCGGUGUCCAUAGUUUCUACAAAUAUUUACAACAUGGCAAUUAUUAUUCAAACAUGACAGAUGGAUAUAUUAGUGCCAAACGUAGAACUAGCUACCUAAUCAUAGUAAGCUAUCGGGAGGGGGUAUAUAUCGACAACGACGACACUACAUCUAUGUCCCUCGACGACCCUCGUUCCCGAUAAAAAAAGAGGAAUAAGAAGAAAAAAAAGAGGAGAAGAAAGAAUAGAGGAGAUCUCCUCUAUUCUUUCUUCUCCUCUUUUUUUUCUUCUUCCUCUUCUUUUUUUAUCCUCUUCUUCCUCUCAUGUUCGAGAGCAUCGCCGAGGGGUCGGGAGGUUGCCUAGUGUCAAAGGAUUCGACAAAACCAUGUCUUCAUCAUUAGGCGAAAGUAACACGUGCAUGAUAGUACGAAGCUCUCCAAAGUUAUUUUGGAACGGAGUCCUAGAUAGGAUAAUUCGCUUUUUGAUACAAAGUUCAGCAAGAACCUUCCAAAUAUCGUUAUUUGGAAGGCCUUUGCUGAAAUUCAUACAAGAAGGCAAAUUAUCCUAUCCGGGACACCAUUCCAAAAUAAUUUUGGAGGACUUUGUCAUGCCCUGGUUACUUCUGGCUAAUGAUGAAGCCAUGGAUUUCUUCAAUACUUCGACACUAGGAAACCUCUCUCGACCCCUCGGCGAUCCUCGACCCCUCGAACCCUCGACGACCCUGGAACCCUCGACCCCUCGGCGAUCCUCUUCUUCCUCUCAUGUUCGAGAGGAUCGCCGAGGGGUCGGGAGGUUGCGUAGUGUCAAAGGAUUCAACAAAACCAUGUCUUCAUCAUUAGGCGAAAGUAACAUGUGCAUGAUGGUACGAAGCUCUCCAAAGUUAUUUUGGAACGGAGUCCUAGAUAGGAUAAUUCGCUUUUUGGUACAAAGUUCAGCAAGAACCUUCCAAAUAUCGUUAUUUGGAAGGCCUUUGCUGAAAUUCAUACAAAAAGGCAAAUUAUCCUAUCCGGGACACCAUUCCAAAAUAAUUUUGGAGGACUUCGUCAUGCCCUGGUUACUUCCGGCUAAUGAUGAAGCCAUGGAUUUCUUCAAUACUUUGACACUAGGAAACCUCUCUCGACCCCUCGGCGAUCCUCGACCCCUCGAACCCUCGACGACCCUGGAACCCUCGACCCCUAGACGACCCUGGAACCCUCGACCCUCGACCCUAUAGAACCCUCGAACCCUCGACCCUUGACCCCUUAACGACCCUCGACCCUCUACCCUAGUUCCCGACCCUCGACCCCUCGGCGAUCCUCGACACCCUCAUUCCCGAUAAAAAUUAAGAAGAAGAAGAAGAAGAAGAAGAAGAAGAAGAAGAAGAAGAAGAAGAAGAAGAAGAAGAAUAAGAAAAAAGAGGAGAAGAAGAAAGGAAUAGCUAGAGGAGAAGAUCGAAGAAAAAAAAGAAGAAAAAAAAGAGGAGAAGAAGAAAGGAAUAGUGGAGAAGAAGAGAAAAUAGAAUAUAUUCUAUUUUCUCUUCUUCUCCACUAUUCCUUUCUUCUUUUCCUCUUCUUUUUCUUCUUUUUUCUUCUUAUUAUUUAUUUCUCCUCUUCUUCCUCUCCUCUUCUUCCUCUCCUCUUCUUCUUCUUAUUUAGUUCUCUCGACCCCUCGUCCCUCUCUCGACCCCUCGACGACCCUCGUCUCUGAUAACAUUUUUUUUCUCCCCUCGACACCUCUCGACCUCUCGUCCCACUCUCGACCCCUCAUCAUCAUCUAUCACCCCCCUCGUUUUCUUUAGCAUAUAUCCAUGAACAAAAUAAUAAUUCAUAUAUAGAAAAAAUGCUAUAUGAACAUACAUACAUAUGAGCAUAUACAGAGAGCAUAUACAUAGCCAAAUCCAUAUACAGAGAGCAUAUACAUACAUACAUACAUAUGAGCAUAUACAUACAUACAUAGCCAUACAUAUGAGCCUCUCGGCGGUGAUGGUCAGAGCAACAGGGAUCGAUGGGAAGGGGGGAGCUCACUGGGGGCGCGACGGGGAGGAGGCCGGGGACGGGGAGGAGGCCGGCGACGGCGCGAGGGAGGCCGGCGACGUGGCGCGAGGCGACGAGGAGGGGGCCGGAGAUGGCGCAUGCAGCGACGAGGAGGAGGCCGGCGACGGCGCAAGCAGCGACGGGGACAAGGCCUGCGGCGGCGCGGGGCGACGGCGACGGGGAGCGGGCAACGACGGGCUCGGGGCGGCGACGACGACGACGAACGGCCUGGGGGCGUCGGGGGCGAAUGGGAGCGGUUGGCGAAAUUUUCACAAGUGCUACCUUAUAUACCCAGAGCAAUGGUCCCGGUUCGUGGCACGAACCGUGACCAAUGCCCCCCUUUGGUCCCAAAUGCCAAUUUUCAGCAGCCCAAAGGGCGGGAAGCGGCGGCCUUUGGUCCCGGUUGGUGGCACCAACCGGGACCAAUGGCCUUGUGCUGCCCCCCGCCCAAAAGUUUAGUCCCACCUCGCUAGUUGAGAGGGCUCGGGAGUGGUUUAUAAGCGCUGCUGUGCCCACCCUCUCGAGCUCCUCUCAACUUCAGGCUUUCGGGCCUAAUCUGUCACUGCAAUGCCUGUGGGCCUACUGGGCCCGCUGCGGGCCUGAAUCCUGGCCCAUGGUAGGGUUUCUAGUCGUAUUCAGGCCGUGGUGGCCCAGUAAGUGGCAUUUUUUUUUGUUUUUUUGUUGCUUUAUUUAUUUUCUUUUGUUUUUUGCUUUAUUUUUUAACUCUUUAUGCUUUUAGUUUUAGAAAAAUUAUAAACUUUUUGUUAAUGCCAUUAGUUUUCAAAUUUGAAAAUAUUUUUUUUAGUUUUUUAGUUUUCUUUGUUGAUUUAUUUAUUUUAUUUUGUGAUUAACUUUACUAUAAAAAUAGUUUUUUUCCUGUUUUUUGAUUUUUUUUGCAUUAUUUUUUUAAUUUUUUUUGNNNNNNNNNNNNNNNNNNNNNNNNNNNNNNNNNNNNNNNNNNNNNNNNNNNNNNNNNNNNNNNNNNNNNNNNNNNNNNNNNNNNNNNNNNNNNNNNNNNNNNNNNNNNNNNNNNNNNNNNNNNNNNNNNNNNNNNNNNNNNNNNNNNNNNNNNNNNNNNNNNNNNNNNNNNNNNNNNNNNNNNNNNNNNNNNNNNNNNNNNNNNNNNNNNNNNNNNNNNNNNNNNNNNNNNNNNNNNNNNNNNNNNNNNNNNNNNNNNNNNNNNNNNNNNNNNNNNNNNNNNNNNNNNNNNNNNNNNNNNNNNNNNNNNNNNNNAUUAGUUUUCAAAUUUGAAAACACUUUUUUAGUUUUUUUCUUUUCUUUGUUGCUUUAUUUAUUUUAUUUUGUGAUUAACUUUACUAUAAAAAUAGUUUUUUCCUGUUUUUUUGAUUUGUUUUUUGCAUUAUUUAUUUUCUUUUGUUUUUUGCUUUAAUUUUUAAUUCUGUUUGCUUUUAGGUUAGCAAAAUUAUAAACUUUCUGUUAGUGCCGUUAGUUUUAGAAAAAACUAUAAACUUUCUGUUAGUGCCAUUAGUUUUCAAAUUUGAAUAGUUAAAAUUUGAAUUCUUUGAAAAUUGUUUGAAUCACAAGUUUGUGAUUAACUUACUAAAAAAUGACAAUAGAUGAAAGUUGAAAGUUUCUGUUAGUGCCAUUAGUUUUAGAAAGUUGAAAGUUGAAAGUUGGCAUGGGCCAGGGACUAAUGGUCAUGGUAUUACGAGGGCCGAACCAUAAGACAUGAAAGCAUUUUAAAUGAACUCUGAAAAAGUUGAAAGUUGGGAUGGUAUCAUAAUUUCACCCACAUAGCAUGUGCAUGUACAAAACAGACAAUGGUAACAUGUUCGUGUGUUACAAAGUUGCGGGAGAAAGUCUUCACUUUUUCUUCACUUGUGUCAUUUGCUUAUUGUGCCAUAACCAUGGAUAAUCUUCAUUGUUUAUCAGGAUGCUUGGGUCAGCCUUGACAUUGAAGGGAGGAAUUUCAUGAAACUUUUCAUAAUCUUCAGACAUGUCUGUCUUGCCGUCCACUCCCAGGAUGUCCCUUUUUCCUGAAAGAACUAUGUGGUGCUUUGGCUCAUCGUAUGAUGUAUUCGCUUCCUUAUCUUUUCUUUUUCUCGGUUUGGUAGACAUGUCCUUCACAUAGAUAACCUAUGCCACAUCAUUGGCUAGGACGAAUGGUUCGUCAGUGUACCCAAGACUUUUCAGAUCCAUUGUUGUCAUUCCAUACUGUGGGUCUACCUGUACCCCGCCGCCUAACAGAUUGACCCAUUUGCACUUAAACAAAGGGACCUUAAAAUCAGGUCCGUAGUCAAGUUCUCACAUGUCCACUAUGUAACCAUAAUAUGUAUCCUUUCCGCUCUCGGUUGCUGCAUCAAAGCGGACACCGCUGUUUUGGUUGAUGCUCUUUUGAUCUUGGGCGAUCGUGUAAAAUGUAUUCCCAUUUAUCUCGUAUCCUUUGUAAGUCAAUACAGUCAAAGAUGGUCCCCUGGACAACAAGUACAACUCAUCACAAACAGUGUUGUCACCUCUGAGACGUGUUUCCAACCAACUGCUGAAAGUCCUGAUGUGUUCACAUGUAAUCCAGUCGUCGCACUGCUCCGGGUGUUUGGAGCGCAGACUGUUCUUGUGUUCAUCGACAUACGGGGUCACCAAGGUAGAGUUCUGUAGAACUGUGUAGUGUGCUUGAGACCAAGAAUAUCCGUCCCUGCAUAUUAUUGAGUCUCUUCCAAGAGUGCCUUUUCCAGUCAGUCUCCCCUCAUACCGCGAUUUAGGGAGACCUAUCUUGUUAAGGCCAGGAAUGAAGUCAACACAAAACCCGAUAACAUCCUCUGUUUGAUGGCCCAUGAAGAUGCUUCCUUCUGGCCUAGCGCGAUUACAGACAUAUUUCUUUAGGACUCCCAUGAACCUCUCAAAGGGGAACAUAUUGUGUAGAAAUACGGGCCCCAGGAUGACAAUCUCGUCGACUAGAUGAAUUAGGACGUGCGUCAUGAUAUUGAAGAAGGAUGGUGGGAACACCAGCUCGAAACUGACAAGACAUUGCGCCACAUCACUCCUUAGCCUUGGUACGAUUUCUGGAUCGAUCACCUUCUGAGAGAUUGCAUUGAGGAAUGCACAUAGCUUCACAAUGGCUAAUCGGACGUUUUCCGGUAGAAGCCCCCUCAAUGCAAUCGGAAGCAGUUGCGUCAUAAUCACGUGGCAGUCAUGAGACUUUAGGUUUUGAAACUUUUUCUCUGGCAUAUUUAUUAUUCCCUUUAUAUUCGACGAGAAGCCAGUCGUGACCUUCAUACUGAGCAGGCAUUCAAAGAAGAUUUCUUUCUCUUCUUUCGUAAGAGCGUAGCUGGCAGGACCUUUAUACUGCUCCGGAGGCAUGCCGUCUUUUUUGUGCAAAUGUUGCAGGUCCUCCCGUGCCUCAGGUGUAUCUUUUGUCUUCCCAUACACGCCCAAGAAGCCUAGCAGGUUCACGCAAAGGUUCUUCGUCACGUGCAUCACGUCGAUUGAGGAGCGGACCUCUAGGUCUUUCCAGUAGGGUAGGUACCAAAAUAUAGAUUCCUUCUUCCACAUGGGUGCGUGUCCCUCAGCGUCAUUCGGAACAGCUAGUCCACCGGGACCCUUUCCAAAGAUUACGUAGUGUAAAUUAUUGACCAUAGCAAGCACGUGAUCACCGGUGCGCAUGGCGGGCUUCUUCCGGUGAUCUGCCUCGCCUUUGAAAUGCUUGCCUUUCUUUCGACAUUGAUGGUUGAUCGGAAGAAAUCGACGAUGGCCCAGGUACACAUUCUUCCUGCAUUUGUCCAGGUAUAUACUUUCAGUGUCAUCUAAACAGUGCGUGCAUGCGUGGUAUCCUUUGUUUGUCUGUCCUGAAAGGUUACUGAGAGCGGGCCAACCGUUGAUGGUCACGAACAGCAACGCCUUAAGGUUAAAUUCCUCCUGUCUGUGCUCAUCCCACGUACGUACACUGUUUUCAUUCCACAGCUGUAAAAGUUCUUCAACUAAUGGCCUUAGGUACACAUCAAUUUCGUUGCCGGGUUGCUUAGGGCCUUGGAUGAGAACUGGCAUCAUAAUGAACUUCCGCUUCAUGCACAUCCAAGGAGGAAGGUUAUACAUACAUAGAGUCACGGGCCAGGUGCUGUGAUUGCUGCUCUGCUCCCUGAAAGGAUUAAUGCCAUCCGCGCUUAAAGCAAACCAUACAUUCCUUGGGUCCUUUGCAAACUCAUCCCAGUACUUUCUCUCGAAUUUUCUCCACUGCGACCCGUCAGCGGGUGCUCUCAACUUCCCAUCUUUCUUUCGGUUCUCACUGUGCCAUCGCAUCAACUUGGCACGCUCUUCGUUUUUGAACAGACGUUUCAACCGUGGUAUUAUAGGAGCAUACCACAUCACCUUCGCAGGAACCCUCUUCUUGGGGGGCUCGCCGUCAACAUCACCAGGGUCAUCUCGUCUGAUCUUAUACCGCAAUGCACUGCAUACCGGGCAUGCGUUCAGAUCCUUGUAUGCAUCGUGGUAGAGGAUGCAGUCAUUAGGGCAUGCAUGUAUCUUAUCCACCUCCAAUCCUAGAGGGCAUACGACCUUCUUUGCUGCGUAUGUACUGUCAGGCAAUUCGUUAUCCUUUGAAAGCUUCUUCUUCAAUAUUUUUAGUAGCUUCUCAAAUCCUUUGUCAGCCACAGCAUUCUCUGCCUUCCACUGCAGCAAUUCCAGUAUGGUACCGAGCUUUGUGUUGCCAUCUUCGCAAUUGGGGUAUAACCCUUUUUUAUGAUCCUCUAACAUGCGAUCGAACUUCAGCUUCUCCUUUUGACUAAUGCAUUGCGUCCUUGCAUCGACAAUGACCCGGCGGAGAUCAUCAUCAUCGGGCACAUCGUCUGGUUCCUCUUGAUCUUCAGCAGCUUCACCCGUUGCAGCAUCAUUGGGCACAUCGCCUGGUUCCUCUUGAUCUUCACCAGCUCCCCCCGUUGCAGCAUCACCGUAUUCAGGGGGCACGUAGUUGUCAUCGUAGUCUUCUUCUUCGCCGUCUUCCAUCAUAACCCCUAUUUCUCCGUGCCUCGUCCAAACAUUAUAGUGUGGCAUGAAACCCUUGUAAAGCAGGUGGGAGUGAAGGAUUUUCCGGUUAGAGUAAGACCUCAUAUUCCCACAUUCAGUGCAUGGACACCACAUAAAACCAUUCUGCUUGUUUGCCUUAGCCGCAUCGAGAAACUCAUGCACGCCCUUAAUGUACUCGCGGGUGUGUCUGUCACCGUACAUCCAUUGCCGGUUCAUCUGCGUGCAUUAUAUAUAAUUAAGUGUCCAAAUUAAUAGAAGUUCAUCAUCAUAUUAAAACCAAAGUGCAUACAUAGUUCUCAUCUAACAACAUAUAGCUCUCCAGAGCAUCUAAUUAAUUAAACCAUACAUUGAAACUAUGUAAAACAUUUCAAUGCGAAAACAAAUGCGAUCAUAAUCGCAACCAAGGUAACAAUUGAUCCAACGGCAUAAUGAUACCAAGCCUCGGUAUGAAUGGCAUAUUUUCUAAUCUUUCUAAUCUUCAAGCGCAUUGCAUCCAUCUUGAUCUUGUGAUCAUCGACGACAUCCGCAACAUGCAACUCCAAUAUCAUCUUCUCCUUCUCAAUUUUUUUUAUUUUUUCCUUCAACAAAUUGUUUUCUUCUUCAACUAAAUUUAACCUCUCGACAAUAGGGUCGGUUGGCAUUUCCGAUUCACAUACAUCCUAGAUAAAUAAAAUCUAUGUCAUGUUGGUCGGCAUAAUUUUCAUAAACAAUAAAUGAACCAAUAGUUAUAAUGAUAAUAUACAUACCACAUCCGAAUCAUAGACAGGACGAGGGUCGACGGGGGCGGAUACCAAAACCAUCACACUAUAUAAGAUGCAAUAAUAAAUGUAAGAAAAUGAUACAAGUAUCUAUCUAAACAUACAAGUAAGAAUAUUUUUCCUUUCAGAAAGAAGAUAAGAAUAAGAGGCUCACCACGGUGGUGUCGGUGAUGAGAUCGGCGCGGGUGAUCGACGGCGGUGAAGAUGGGGACGGGGCGUGACGGACCGCUAAAUCUAGACAAAUCUCGAGGAAAAUGGAGCUUGGAGGUCGAGCUUCGAGAGGAGAAAACUUAAGUAGUGUGGCUCGGACAUUCCAUCGAACACCUCAUGUGCAUAGGAGGUGAGCUAGAGCACCACAAAGCCCUCUCCCCCUCGGCCAGAAAAAACAGAGCACCGUGCUCUGCUCUUGCGCGAGGGGGUAUAUAUAGGCACCUUAUUGGUCCCGGUUGGUGACAUGAGCUGGGACUAAAGGGAUCAAUGGUGAUGGGCCAGGAGCGAGGCCCAUUGGUCCCGGUUCAUCCCAUCAACCGGGACCAAAAGGUCCAGAUGAACCGGGACCAAUGGCCCACGUGGCCCGGCCGGCCCCCUGGGCUCACGAACCGGGACCAAUGUCCACAUUGGUCCCGGUUCUAGACUGAACCGAGACUAAUGGGCUGACCCGGCCUGGACCAAAGCCCUGUUUUCUACUAGUGCGCACCCAUGGCCCUAAGGUCACUGGAGACGUGGGGGAUCGGCGGCGCCGCCGCCGGGAGGCAGGAAACCCUAGACGCCUUUCCUUGGAGGAGAGACAAAGGGAGGAAGGAACACAAAUGUGACUAAUGUGUAUGUUGUGAUCUAACAUGAGAAAAUGGAUCUGGAUGUCAAGGAAUUGGUUAACCGGCAAGCAAAGUCAGCAUAAAAUCAGGGCCGGUCCUGAGGGGGGGCAGGAGGGGUGGCCGCCCCGGGUCCCCAUGCCUAGUAGUAUGCACAUGGCUGGUACGUAGCCCAUGGCCUAAUUUUUGGUUGCUGCGACGUACGAUUGUCAGCCUAUGGGGAAUCGCAUAGUCGAAGGGCACACGUUCCGGGAGCCUGGGAGCAAUCUACGGUCGUCCUCUCAUCUUCUUUCGCUCGUUUCCAAAGAUUUUCCUUCGCUCGUGGCCUAUCGAUACAACUACGCGACUAUGAUCUACCUGUACGCGACGAAAGCGGCAACCGGCAGCGGCUACGGUGCAGAGGUCGGAGAGUGACGGCCAACCGCGAGAGAUUGCUCCGGCUUCGCGGCUCUUUGUGUGAUACUGUGAUCUGAUCGCUUCUCUAAUGCUCCGCCUAGGACUCUAGGGGCCUCCUUCUUGGAUCCAACCAGAACCAGGGCAUCAACUGAUCAGCAGUUAACCACUUCUUGUCUUGCCGGCUGGAACCUCUGUACGUACACGGUAAUACCAUUAAUCACUAAUUCGUUAUCUAUAUAGGUUAAUUUAUAUUAAGAUAUUUCAUUAUAAUUAGUUUGUCGCUCUUGUGCAUUUAUUUGGAUUUCAGAACUAUCAAAAAGGAUUUGUGGAUGAGUUGAUAAAAUCAUGAAAAGGAGUCAUUGAUAUUAUUUUGGAGAAUACCACUGAUGCUUGGACGAAUAUAGAGUUUGCGACAGUAGGUAUGGAUGGGCCGGCUAAUGGAAUACAGGGAGAAAAUGUGAAUGUAAGUGACCCUGAGAACACUCUUAAUGCAUUGGAUGCACGGCACAUUCCACUAGUUAAUUUUAGGUUAACUUUGCAUCAUAUGUUGCUUUGCAUUAGGAAUAUUAAGGUAAUAUGUACAUGUUAUGUGAUAUAAAUAUUACUUUUAGAUGCAUCCAAGUGUUAAUUGGUAACAGUCCCAUAUAUAACAGAAAUAACAAAUGCAUCUCAGGUCCCAUUGCACCCGAAUUGAAUUUAUUAUUUUAAAAGUAAUGUAAUAAAGAGUUAAAAAGAUGAAACUUUCUUUUAACAAAGAUGACUUCUCAUAAUACUCACAUGAAAACUUUCAUGAAUGAAUGUGGGCUUGCAAUUUUUUUUGCCGAGAAUACCAUGAGAGUCAUUCCUGCCAGAACCUUUUCACAUGAGUAUUACGCUAGGCCAUGUUAGUUACAAAAAAGUUUCAAUUUUUUGGUACCCCUUUAGUUUUUUUUAUAGUUUUUUUUCCAAUUUAGGUGCAUUUGGCAUAUGUUUCAAAGAACCGCAGCCUAUAUAAAAUGAUGGUUGUUGUUAUGGUGUUUGUAUUAAGGGCCCUAAGUUUUAGUUUCGCCCCGGGCCCCCGAAAUCUCAGGACUGAUCCUACAUAAAAUAGACGAUUUUACCUUUACAAUGAAGGGGUAUGUUUUUGGGCUUGUUUGUAUCAUUUUCCGGAGACGCCCUGCCAAAAAAUUGGCCGUGACCCAUCCUUGGCUGCUCAUUUGAAUGAAGACCAAAUAAUCAGUGCGCCCACAACUCUGGCAGCCCCGGUACAUUUACUAGCUAUCUUUUUGGCAAGUCGUGGGUGGUAAAAUCCGGCACCAAUUAUUUGACGAGUCCACAAAUGGCAGGCCGACACUUUCACAAACCAAAUAGCUUGUUAAGCUUAACUGUUGAGGCCGAACUCACUAUUCUGACCUUUUCAGUAAUCUUUGCCACAAAAUGAACUCGACAUGAAAGUAUUUCAUGAUCUGACCCUUUUAGCAACGCCACAGCCCGUGACAUUUCUUCUUUAUAUAGAAACGCUGAGCUAGCUAGCGUUUCAAAUCCACAUUCAAACGCUGGAGUAGCUAGCAUUUCCAAUCCACAUAGAAACGCCAAGCAAGUGGGCGUUGCUGCCCUGGCCAGAAACGCCAUAGGGCUUGGCGUUUAGGCUCUGGGUUUAGGAGCAGUUUUUUACUUUGGCGACGGGGCAGCGAAUGGACUGGGUGCCAGUGCAGAAACGCCAAAGCCCUUGGCGUUGCUUACCUGGUCCGCAACACGAGAAACCUCGGCGUUUCUCCUUUGGGCAGGAACGCUAGCUAGCUCGGCGUUUCUCCUUUGGGCAGGAACGCUAGCUAGCUCGGCGUUUAUAUUUGGGGAAGAAACGCCACGGGCUCUGGCGUUGCUAAAAGGGCCAGAUCGUGAAAUACUUUCAUGUUGAGUUCACUUUGUGACAAAGUUUGUUAAUAGGGUCAGAAUAGUGAUUUCGUCCAACUGUUGAUUGCUCAUGGAGAGUUUCCAAAGAGGCCCAUCUCUAGCGGUGUUUCUUGUUGACCCACUUGAGAUUUCUGACAAGUGAAGGGCCAUUUUGUACUAGUGGAUUGGAUCAAAGAAAAAUGUGGUGUGUCCUAAAAUGCUUUGCCUUUACUACAUCCUCUCAAGCAUCAUGUAUAAACUACAAUUCAAAACAUUUUACUGUAACAUAUUUUCAAAUAUUGGAUAUGGUAAUGUAAAUUAAAGUUAAUUAAAAGUUGAGAUGUUCUAGAAAUACUUGAUUACAAUCUAGGGUUAAUUUCUGUCUUUUUUCUCACCCUUAAUAUUCAAAUUAAUUAUGGUGUAUGUGCCAAAGAAAAUAUAUAUGGUCAUAAUUUCUUGCCCAUUGAUUCAAGAGACGACGUGGCUGUUGAAGCAAUGCAUCUGUUCAUGUUAACGUUUGUAUUCACCGAGGGACACGUAUGCACAAAGCGACACCCCGAGGCCUAUAAAGGUUCAACAAUUCAGUCAUUUGGUGCUCACUCCCGGAUGCACGGCUGCAGUCACAUAGACGCUCACAUAAUUGUUUUGCGGUGUAGGAGAACGUUCACAUUGGGACGAGAGGACUCAGGUGCACACACAUAACAUAUGUAGUGACGGUUAGUUCUUCGCCCAUUGGGGGAACAAUUGAAGUGAAGAGGUAUAGGGGAGAGAAAACACUAUUAAGUAUACUCUAUAUGGUCGAUCUUGAAGAUUCCACACGAAUUAUGGAGAUGUCAAGGUACGUAAAUCAGAGAGAUUAAAGGGUUGAAUCGAAUCUGCUGAAGUUUACACAUUAUUGUUUUUCUUAAAUUUACAUGUUAAAAAUCAUGAUACUGAUUACAAGAGAUAGGUUCCUACCAUUAUAUCAAUAAGUUAUUUCUAUACAUUUUUGCAGUAAUUUUACUUUUGUUACAAAUUUACAAAUAGUUUUAGUUUGGGCCAACUUAUUAGCAUGACAUGAAGUGAGGAUUUCACUGAAAAUUAUGCGAAUAAAGGGUCUUAGUAACAUUUCUGAAAAAUUACGAGAAAUACAUAAAUGUUACUUCAGUGCAUUUUUGCAUGUUCACCACGUUGUUGGCCUUCUAAAAUGACGACCUACCACAUACCUCUAGAAAACCAUUGAAUCUCAUCAGAGGACACCAAUUUCUCGAUCGUCAAGUAUGGUGUAUCGUUCUAUUAUAUUCUAAUGCAGUCUUUCUAGAAGAUAAGAUUUGAUCUUCCAUGUCAUUAAUUCAUGCACUCUAUAUAUGAGCAUGCAUGAUAUGUGGUCAGCAUGUAAAAUGUAUUGGGGGAUGCUAUUUCACGCACGAGCAUUACAGCGCUCGAUGUCCUUAUAAGCUUUUAGAUGAUGUAUGACAUGAGCAUUAAUCGAUGAAAUACUGAGGAAAUAAUUUAAUAUUUCGCACGUGAAAUCAGUAUAUUGUGUCUCGCUAAAUGUGGCGAGUAUUAGAAUCUUUGAGUAUUACAAUCUUUCAUCAAUAUACUCACUAAAUGUGGCACAUAUUAAAAUAUUUCUUCAAUCAAUCUUAAUGUCAACGUAAUAAAAACCUUAAACACGUUUUGAAUGCUGACCACAUAUUUCAUUCGCGCACAUAGAAAAUGGGUGCAUGAAUUAAUGGCAUAAAAGACCAAUCCUAUCUUUCACAAAUACUGCAUUUAUAUAGAAGAUAUGGAUUAUUUUCUUAUAUCUUCACAAUGCCGACAAAUUUAAUUGCAGGGAGAUAUUGUGUUGUGUGAGUAGUAAUAUAAACACAAAGUUAAUUGCCAAAAGACUGCAUUUGUAAUGGAUUGACAUUUUAAUUGUGAUAUCUUCACAGUGCACAAACCAUUAAAUUGCAAGGAAGUAUUGCCGACUAGUAAGGUACAUGCCGCUAAAAAUAUAUUAAUAAUAUCGAUACAUCUUGAUAGACUCUCCACCACAUAAUGUGCUAUAAAAGGGAUUCAAAGGAACUCAUCUGGAAUACAAAACAAAAAGUCGAUCUUGAACACUUCUACUCUUAAGCAGCUUGCUAUACAAGAGCUAGUGUAAAAACGGGGAGUACUAAAAUGGGGAUUACCAAUUCCAUGGACGUCCUCUUGGUCUUUGCAGUCCUGUUGCUCAAUGCUGAUGUCGGGUCGUGCGGCUGCUUCAAGCGCAUCUUUGCCUUUGGUGACUCCAUCAUUGGCACCGGCAACUUCCGGACAGGUUCGAUGUGGAUGCCCCCUUAUGGAGGGACCUACUUCCACCACCCCACUGGCCGCUGCUCCGACGGGCGUCUAAUCGUCGACUUCUACGGUGAGUGCAUGUUCGCACGCAGGUGUACUCUCGUGCUUGAUUUCUAAAUUUGGUGUGUGUGUGUAUCAGCGCAAGCGUUUGGCCUGCCCCUGCUGCCGCCGAGCGAGCCCGAGGAGAAGACAGGGCAGUUCCCUGCCGGUGCCAACUUCGCCGUGUGGGGCUCGUUUGCGCUGAGCCCAGACUACUACCGGAAAAGGUAUAACUUAAGUACGGACCACGGUUGCCUCGACUCGCAGCUCGGUUCCUUCAAGACAGUGCUCGCACGGAUAGCUCCUGGAAAAGGUAAGUACUCAUGUAAUAAAAUAUAUGUGCAUACAUGCAUGGAUGGUCUUUACCAUAUUAUUACAUAUUUUUUCUUGCAUUAGUCAGCUAAUUCCUUUUUGUUUGUGUGAUCAGCUGCCACCAAGAGACUCCUCAGCGAGUCCCUUGUCAUCUUUGGCGAGAUCGGCGGCAACGACUAUAACUCCUGGUUCUUUGAUCCUCGGCGCAGCAGGGACACGCCCCAUCAGUACAUGCCUGACGUGAUAGCCCGCAUAGGUGCCGGCGUCCAGGAUGUGAUUAACCUCGGCGCAAAGACGAUCCUUGUUCCGGGGAACUUCCCCAUCGGGUGCAUUCCGGUUUACUUGAAUGAUCACAAGAGCAACAGGUCUUCGGAUUACGACCAGUUCGGCUGCCUCAAGUGGUACAACGCGUUCUCCCGGAAGCACAACCAGCUAUUGAGGCAGGAGGUCGGCCGGCUCAAGUCUCGCAACCCCAGCGUGAAGAUCAUCUACGCAGACUACUAUGGCGCCGCCAUGGAGUUUGUCAGGAACCCCAAGAGGAAUGGUGUCGACGACCCUCUGGUGGCGUGUUGUGGUGGCAACAGCCCAUACGGCACCGGUCGCGGGUGCGACCAGAACGCGAAGGUUUGCCGUGACCCGUCCAGGUUCGCCAACUGGGACCAGGUUCACAUGACGGAGAAGGCGUAUAGUGUCAUCUCCAAUGGGGUGCUCAACGGCCCGUAUGCGGACAUCCCAUUGCUCCAUGCUUGCUAGGAGAAUUUCCUUUCGAUACUUGAAGAAAUGCUUGCGGCAACAAAGAUCUGUUACGUGCUAGCUUCUUGGAAUUUUUAAUCUUGUAUCACCAUCUCAAUUAGUCAUGAACUAGUCAUCAACCAGUGCAUUUGCACGGGUUUGUUGUAUCUCUAUUUUGUUACAUCCAUUAUGAAGAACACCAGUGGAACUUGCUUUAGGAAAGAGACGUUACAUUACACGUUUCCAUGGAUCUAUCGAUAAAAGUUAUGAAAUCUUGUUUAUUACUUUAACUGCAACACACAGGGAGGGAGAUGCACUCGAUAUCAUGUUCGCUGAUUGAUGUUUUGGGAUCCGGGAAAUGGGACAUAAGGUGUCAGGUCUGGUGCUUGGAGAAAUCGUGUACGGGGGAAUACAUGCACGAACUGUGCGAUACGGCGGGGCCAGUUCGUAGCGAAGAGGUAGGCAUGAGUCAAGGUUAGACGGCGCCGUCCCGUGUUGGAUUCUGAUCCAUGGCUCGGUAUUAUCUAGUCUCAUCGGGACCGUGGCCAGACGGGAGUUCUAUCAGGGAAAUCUUUGCUGGUUCGCGAUGUCCUCUGGAGUUUGAGUGACUUGGCAAGGCAAGCGCUUGGAUGCGGUGGAUUCUCUCGGAGGAUUGAUUCUUUGGGCGUAAACAUCCUGGAGGUUGAAGAAGGCUCUGGACUAGAAUCGCAACAAUGCGAUGGAGGUCACCAGCUCGUCCCCACAGAAAGUCAUGAAAACUGGGGGAGGAACUCCUCGUUCUGGACAUCGGUGGACGACGAACACAGACGUAUUUUGGGGGAGCACAUCUGUAUUCACUGGUGAGGAAAAUAUUAAGGCAUGCUGAUACGCAUGCAAAUAGGAUGCGAAGGGAACAAGACAUAGGUCUCCGAUCUAGCCACGACAGCAUCACCGGGAAACCUGCAUCGCCGCCGUCGCUGACGCCGAAACAGGAACCAACGAGCUUGAACACCCUGGCCGGAGAGAGUGCUGUGGGCCACUUUCUAUUCCAGGAAUGAUGCGAAGCAGAUAUACAUCGGAUAAUACAUCAUAUAUUGCACAUCUCGAGGUGAAUUGACGCCAUGGAUUUCUGGGACAUCUGAGACUGGGCACCGUUUCGUUUCCUCUAUUUCCUACCUUGCUCGCCCUCCUCCUUCCUCUGUUUCUUCACCCCUCAUCCCCUCUUGCACGCCGCACCACCACCACCAUGAUACGCCAUGCCUAUUCUUUCGGUAGGUUUGCAUCGGGUUCCACAGCUUGACGAGCAUGUCGUGCAGUAUACAGGUUCGUAAUUGGAGAUGUAUUUUGUUUGCACCAAGCACCAUCUUAUCUCUACUACAGAUGUGCUAUAAUCAAAGAAAACAGAUCUUGGCGGGAAACUCAAAUUGCAUCUUCCUCGGAUGUAUUACUAGUAGUGUAAUAAUAAGGUUAGCCUACCCUUGAUAUGAUAAGACUAUGCAUGAUACAUACUCUUGUGUCCCAAAAAAUUAUUAUUCAUCUUGUGGUUGCAUUUCCAUUAGUAUUCUACUAGUCGUCAACCCGUGCAAUCGCACGGGCUAGCAAAUUUAUUAUUUGAGAUACUAUUUUGUAAAAAAAUCAAAAUGUCAAACAAUAAUAUGAAUAUGUGAUGUAGAUUAUUAUUAUAACACAUGCAUGUGUACCUUGGUUGGACAUAGGGUGUAACGAAGCUACAUUGCUUUGACAUUUCUGUGAUUAGAAUGUUUACAUCCAAUAAUAUGAAUAUUGUGAUGUUGAUUAUUAUAAUAACACAUGCACGUGUACCUUGGUCGGACAUAGGAUCAAGCAGAGGUACAUUGCUUCGACUAUUUUAGCAUAUAUCUUCCUUUCUUAUACCCUACGAAAAAUAUAGACAUCUACCGUUUGGUAAUGGAAGCACCAUAGAAUUAUAGAGUAUGUUUCUAUAUACACAAUAAUGGACACAUGCAUGCACGGCUUUCUGUCAACAGACCUGAUAUCAUAUCAAAUAAUAUACAUAUUGAAAUAUAGAUUGUUGUAUAUUCUCAUUAUAUCAUAUAUUAUUAAGAUUAGACGUUCAUGCCUCAACCAACAAUUUCUUUUAUGACUCACAUGGAUUGAUUUUUUAUAUUCGCCAUCAAUAUUUCACAUAGACAAUGAUGUGCUUACAUGAAUCAUUGUGGCGCAUGAUACAUCCAGUUUAUUCUACAAUAGUAAUAUAUAUGAUGUUUUAAUUACUAACUUUUUCUUUGUUAUAAUCACAAAAAUAGAUAUUCAUAGACAUAGUAUAUAUGCAAAUACGUAUUAGCAAUCUGCAUCUCUAAAGAAGCAUACACGAACCGCAUGCACAUUAGGCAAAGCAGUUUAUCUGUGGACAAAUAGGAUUAAGGAACGGAAUUGGCCGAGUUUGAGUUGCUCUCCAUUGGUGAACCAUCGACGCACCUCCUAUAGAACAUCGUCCAUUGUGACUGGGCAUGGAAACUGAGAAUAUUGAAAGAAUCUCCAGUCAAAUAUGAAUUCACAAAUUAAAUUCCUUAAACCACGAAAAAAAGUUUCUUAAAAAAUCUGUAGUGCUCUCCUAUCCGAUCAAACCUCUACCACUUUCUAUGUGUACAUUCUUUGUUUCUAUAUGCACAUAAAAGAUCCAGACAAUGCAAUAUCUGAUUGGUGAAUUAAUCAUGUUUGUUGUUACAGGAGAACACCCUUAUUUUUUCUUGAAACCAUGUUUUAAUGGCCGUACACGGCGAACCAUCCUGUGAUUGGAUGGUUAGGGGACAGUGUGAUGCCCGACCCACCAAAAUUCAUGUCUUAGCCUUGACAUUGGUGCUCGCAUUUUUCUGGAUUUUUUCGGACCUUCGGGAGAUGUCCGUUCAAUGGGAGGAGACAUUCCGGUCGACAACGUAGGUGUCUGUAGGGAUUACGUUAAUCUCAAGAUGAUAUGCCGGCUUAGUUUAUAGGAGGUGCUCAUAGGGGUUGGGUGUGCGUGUGUGCGUUCAUAGGAGGAUGAGUAUAUGCUCGUGUAUGUGAACGACUUUUAUUGUGCUAUGCUAAAAAAAUGGACGUACAUAUUGCUUUUUUUUGCAUGGGACCUUGUAUUGUUUUUGUACACAUGCCUUUAUGCAUGGACAUAUUUCUGUGUACACGUAUAAGUAGUACUCUUUGUUCGAUCUUUUUCUUAAACUAGUAAGCAUGCACGUGCACGCACGUAUAACCGUGAGAAAAAAAUCUCAUGUAUAAACAUAUUUUUGCUUGUAUUACGUAGUACAUGGAUUAUGCAAAAAGGAAGUUAAGUACUUUUGGGGAAUGGAGAGAAGGGAUUCCAGCAUGAUAUAGUAAUGCUAACAAAUAUGGUGAAGAAUUACAUUUGUUAUCAACCUGAAACUACAAAAGAAUUGUGGACUAAGAUGGAGCACGUGGACUAACAUGGAGCAGGGCGGCCUAAAACCAAACAUAGUUCUCUGGCAAAAAAAACAUAGUUACCUGCUAGUUGUGGCUUAUUCAUAGAGAUCUUGCACGCCUUCUUAUGAAGAAUGAAGUCAGUAAACAAGUGAAAAUAGAAAAUGUAGGAGUGGUGAUUUUGGAAUAGAUAGUUUUUUUUUUCAUAUUAAGGUCCGGCACAAAAUGUGGUCAGGAAAAUCACCUCAUUCGUGUUUGCUUUGUUUUGCAGACAUGUAAUUCAUCGCAUUCUUAUUUGGUCAGCUUUGCAGACAUGUAACUAAUUCAUGCACAAAUGCCGGUGACAAGGAACACAUGAAACAAAUAAAUAAAUGCAUAUCACCAUAUCACAUAUCAUCUGAAAAUUGCAUUAUCUAAUUGGACUAUAAGAACUGUCUGUAGUGGGCCUAUUGUCAAAAUGACACAUCAGAACCGUCAUCUAAUCUCACGGAACCUAGUAACUUUUUAAAAAGUACAUACGACCAUAGAAUAUAUAAUUUGAAAAUUGUAUUAUUUCAUUUUACUAUAGAAACUGCGAAUAGUGAAUGAUGAACCUUUUAGCAUAAACACCUUUUACUUUUGUUUCAUCAUUCAUAUCCCCAAUUAUAGAAUAUAUAGCUACUGGAUUUAUAAAACUAACAUGACACUCAUCCCCAAUUAUGAUGAUCUGUUAGCAUAAACACCUUUUACUUUUGUUUCAUCAUUCAUAUCCCUCGCAUGAAUGAUGAACCUGCAUAUAUUGCUUUAAGAGCGAUGCUUGGAAAUGAAGGGAACAUGAAAUCUUGAAUAUUGUUGACGACGCCAUGACUCGUUUGAGAAGAUGUGCCAUGGUCAAUCCAGUUCUGGUAUGACUCCAUAGUCCACACUUUUCCCUACGAUCCCAAGUCUGAAACAGACAAAAUAAGGAAUUCAUGGUCCACACCAGCACAUUAGUUUUUACACAGGACUAACUGGAGCUUGUGUCUGAUUCUAUUUGAUUGCUAAAGUAACAUAGCAAAUAAUAUGAAUACAAGAUGAGAAAAAAAAUACCCAAGCUUGCAGUUGUUUACCGUAUAUUGAGGUGCUAGAGAUUACAGUGAAAAUUGUCCAAGAAAAUAGCAUAGAGAGGUUGCUCAAAAUAAAUAGUAUGGCACGAUGGCAUAGAGGAAUGUCACAUAAAAAUAUAGAAAGCCCCGCAGUUCAGUUUCCAUGCUUCUCUAAUACUGAAAGCAAUAGCCAAAUAUCAUUGUAUAGUUCUUUCAGAGUAAUAAAAUGGCGGGCUUGGUUCAAUAUCCAAUCCAAAUGCACGCGUCUGACUCAGAAUUGGUACAUGAUUAGGUAAUUAUGCAUGUAACCUUAGUUGUCCAGAACACAAGGGGCUCAUGCCUAUUAGAAAUGGAAUUGGCAAGAUCGAUGUAGAGCCGCUUACUUGCCAACACAUUCAAAUGUGACAUAAAAAAAUUACAGAAUUCAAUCUUCAUGAAACAAAGCUGCAGACAAUACUGAAACAAGAAAAAUAUCGAGUGGUGAUAGAACUCAAAAUACAAAUAUCUCCAUGAGAGACUCAUCCAUUCUUCACCAUAACUGGAGUUUUCUCAGUUUUUUUUUGUAAUAACUGUUAGAUGCUGAAAAGAUUAUGUCACCCUAGUGUUAAGGCCUCUAGGGCAUUUAUAUUUGGUCUUAGUUAAGUGUAGUCCAAAAUGAUGCCCCAUUGAUGAAUUCAAGAUGAAAUUCUGUUAAUUUAGAAGUCCGAUAAUUCAUAAUAUGCAUAUGUAGGACACAGAUUCAUAUAAUGAAAUGGGGAGUACAAAAAAAUGUAGUUGAUUACUCCACAAAUUAGGUAUAGAGCAGUUACCAUCUCUCGAGUAAAACCAAACCGUAGGAUCGUCAUAAAUGGUUUUCUAAACAAUAAUCUUUUUCUUCACUUCCUCCUCUCUUGACAGCACAUGCUUCAAGAUUUGUUGUGCUUUGCGAAGGAAGACAAACGUGGGUUCGACACCCUGGUCAUUUGCACGGCAUGAUGUCUCUGGAAGCAAAGGAAUGCCAGGGUGUUUAACAGAGCUGAGCAACAGGUGGUUGCACAGGAACUCGCGAAGAAGAUACUUGAUGAACUUAGAGAUUGGAAGAUGGCGGCCCGGGGAGGAGGUAGCUUACAACGCUUUGUGAGAGAUUAGUUUUGGGUUCCUUGUAGGAGUGGUGGUGGGUGUUAGUCUUGGAGUGUUCCGCACUCGCUAGACCUCUUGUAAAUUGUUUUGCUCUCUUCUAUAAAAGUAAGGCACGUGCUUUGAGUGCUCUCGAAAGAAAAGAUUUGUUGUGCUCAUAAUCUCUAGAAAUAUAAAUAUACAAAGAUAAUUAAUAAAUAUUCGUUCAAAACUUGUUUUUUUAAUAUAUGUUUGGGUAAAGGUAGAAAGAGAUAUACAAGGGGAACCUGUUUCUGCUGCUUCUAAAAGUAUCUCUUCUUGUGUCAUACAAUUUUCUUCCCAGUUUCCGCUGCUUCUAAAGACAAUACAAGGUAGAUAUAUAUUCACAUGGAGUACAUGAGCAAACCAUCAGUGAAUCCCUAAUUUACCGUUUAUUUUGUCGUUACAAUUGAAUGAAUUAAUAUGAGAUAACGGAGGAUCACUCUUUUUCUAACCUGUAAUGUUCAAUGCUGUGAGAUGCAAACUAUUGAAGGAAAAUCGAUAGUACCUUUGCUAUUUCUCUUGUUAUGCUUUUCGUUUAUUUGUAUUGUAUAGGAUCCCAUUCGGGGACAUACAAAAAAAUAUCUGAGUACACAUCAUCAUCAUUUUAUUAAAGCAAAAACCAACCCUGCAACUUAAAAAUAACUUUGAAAAAUAUACCUCAAAGUGUGACAGGGAUCUAUUUUCUGAUUCGAUUGAUUCAUCAAUAUCUUCCUUGGCCAGAUCAAAAAGAUCCCUCAAAGAUGCAGCUGAAACCGGUGAUGCGCUCUCGGAUUGUUAAAAGGUGUGGACUGCAUAAAUAUCAGCAACAUACAAUUCCCAUGAUCAUGUCGUCCAAUAGUUACUACCCAAUGGAUUAAAUGAUACACAGAGGUUGGUGAUAUGGUGGAAUACCUGGAAUAGCAGCCGACAGUUUAUGCUUGCUCCCUCAUGAUAUUAGACAGGAACGCGGCAGUUGAACAUUUUCCCUUAGUCCCGGUGAUAUGGACAGCCUACGAACACAAUAACUUGCAGCCAAACACCUUUCUCUUCUUCUGGCAGGCAUUCAUAUAUGUAUCCACAACACCUUUCUCCUGCUCUUCCUACCAGCAAAAAGACAACAAGUACUUGAUCAUAUUUAUGUGCAGUUUGACAUAAAACUGAUUUGCAGCCAAACACCUUUCUCUUCUUCUGGCGGGCAUUCAUAUAUGUAUCCACAACACCUUUCUCAUGCUCUCCCUACCAGUAAAAACACAACAAGGACUUAAUCAUAUUUAUGUCAGUUUGACAUAAAAUCGCUUAGCCAAGUCUGUACUUAUCAUGUGAAGAGGACAUGCGGUGGUAUGCUCUUGCUGACCCGUGGUAGAGCCGUAGAGGACAUGGCAGAGGUGGUCGUGGUGACGGAAGAUGGCGACGACCCUGUGGUAGAGGACAAGCAGGAGGAUGCGAUGCCCGGACAACGAACCCUCCUCAACUUCGCAGGGCUGAGUUGCAGGCAACAACGACUUCCGCGUACUCAGCUGUGCGGAAGAAUGGCGGCGGCAUCUGCAUCCCAGACUGCCCGGGAGAAUUAAGAAUGGGGCAGGCAUGUGUUCAUCACCGGUCGUCGCCGUCGCCGAUCUGGUCGGGAAGAGGGCCGUCACUCGCGAGGGAAGGUCCGACGGAGCCAUGGUGUCCUGCAGUGAGGGAAUGGAGAGAGGGAGAAAGAUUAGUGAGGAGAGGGAGAGAGAAGGGAGGAGGGCUCUGGGCAUGGCUGACCGGCAGAGGAGCUCGGCGGCGGCGAUCGGAGGCAGGGUCGGCUCGGGGCGGAUCGGGGGUGGGGAGCGCACGGCAGGAGCGGCAGCGCAACGUUGUUUCUGCGGAUCUGUUCUCUCGCCGUUCUUCUUGGGGCCUAAAGCCAGGGCCGGGACUCAAUCGGGAGGCACUUUCGCGUGGACCAAACCGAAAAUCAGGGAUUCCUCAAAAAACCCGAAAAUCAAGGAGUUACCGCUGGCCCGCGGGGAUCGGCGGAAGCGGAGCGCUCGCACGAUCGGCAGACGCGUCUGCUGGGCAGAACAAUUAAUCUGAGACAUUGAUUCUGGAUGACAGACUAUUGAUGUAAUAUAGGCGGUAGGAUAUGUUUAAGUCAAUUUGAUCGGAUGGUUCUGCUUAUUCCGUGUACAUUUUGUUGUGUGGCUUUUGACAAACACAUGUUUGCUCUUUUAAUAGUAGUAUAGAUGAUGUAAUAUAGGCGGUAGGAUAUGUUUAAGUCAAUUUGAUCGGAUGGUUCUGCUUAUUCCGUGUACAUUUUGUUGUGUGGCUUUUGACAAACACAUGUUUGCUCUUUUAAUAGUAGUAUAGAUAAACUUAUCACCUUGGACUUAAAUCACGUAUGCACGUAUGUGUAUUCUUUUUGUACACAUGCCUUUAUGCAUGGACAUAUUUCUCUAUACACGUAUGAGUAGUACUCUUUGUUCGAUCUUUUUCUUAAAUAAACUUAUCACCUUGGACUUAAAUCACGUAUGCACGUAUGAGUUGUAGUAUAGACGGACUCUUGAACCUGCGUUUUAACUUAUCAUGUGUUGGACUUGUAUCACGUAUGAUCUUUAGCGUAUCUUUUUUUUUUUUGGCGAAUGACAAAUCGUACCAUACAUGGACUCCCUAAUUUUAGUGUACAGACACAUGCCAAAGCGCUCAUUAUGGACUUGCCUUUUUUAACUUAUCAAUUUUGACUUAAAUCACAUAUUACGUUCAGCAUAUCUUAGUGAGGAAAAAGAAAUCUUCACCUACCAACGUGAAUAUCUUUUUUUGAACCAAUGGAUGCUUUUUUUCUUCACAGGAGAAGAUGUUAUCUUUUCCUUUAUAUUGCUAGAGUUUUUAUGGAAGGAGGAUAUCUUUUUUUACGGAGAGGAUAUUUUGUUAAGGCAACGAUGGAUGUUUUCUUUUUUUUCACAGCAACGUUGAACGUGUCAGGACCCUUUUUUGACCAUUGUGUUAAGUAAGUUUUCUUUUUAUCUCUGGCGUUAAUUAUUUAAUCCAACGGUGUAAUUAAUUUUAUAGAUAUGGAUUAAUGAGAAGGCUUUAAUGGUGCCUCCAAUUAGUAAAUAUAAGAUUGGCAUGAUUUAAUUUACAUUGCGUCAGGUCAUUAUCUCACAUGUCGAUGCAUUUGUGGCCAAUUCAUAGUGGCAAUGACUUAAGGUCACUUUACGUGAACAACGAAUUGAUAGAUACUCCCUCCGUUUCAUAUUACUUGUGGUUUUACUUCAAAUUUGACAAGUGCAUCUCAAUUGAUAAAUACAAACAAACUAAUUUGUAUCUUGCGCUCGAACAUGAGAAUCGAAAUGGUCCUGCACUUCACGAAACUUGUUAACCGACGUGCAAAGUCAGCAAAACAUAGAUGGUUUUAGCUUUACAAUGAAGGGGUAUAUUUUCGGGCUUUCUGGAUCAUUUCCGUGAGACACCCUGCCAAAAAAUUGAUCAUGGACCCAGCCUUGCGUGCUCAUUUGGAUGAAGACCAAAUAAUUUGUGCGCCCACACCUCUACGGCAGCCCCAGUAUAAGUCUAAGCCAACUUUUUCGAUGUCAUGGGAGGCAAAAUCCCGCGCCAAAUAUUUGGUGAGCCCAAGAUUGGUAGGCAAGAGCUGUCACAAACCAAACAACCUCUUAAUCUCAACCUUUGAUCACUCAUGCAGCGGUUCCACGGAUGCCCAUCUCUAGCCGGGUUUUUCUUUGACCCACCUGAGAUUUCGGAUCUGUGAUGGGCCUUUUUGUACAUCGUGUAUAAACCACAAUGCAAAACAUUUUUCUACAAUGUGGUGUAUCCUAAAAUCCUUCCUCUCCAUUACUCAACCAUCUCGUGCAUCAUGUAUAAACCACAAUGCAAAACAUUUUCUACAAUGUGUUUUCAAAUAUUCAAUAUGACUAAUGUAAAUUACAGAAUUAUUUUAGAAAUAGCGUAUAGCUUCUAGUACUAGAUUAAAAUCUGGUUUAAGUUUCCCUCUUUUGUCUCGCUAUUAAUAUUCAAAUUGAGUAUGGUGCCUAUGUGAAGAAACUAUAUAUGGUGGUAAUUUCGUGCCGGUUGAUUCACGAGACAAUGUUGCUGUUGAAGCAAUCUGUCCAUUUGUGGCAACAUGAGUAUUCUCCUAGAGACACCUAUGCCUAAAGCGACACCCCGAGGCCUAUAAAGGUUCGACCAUUCGGUCGUUUGGAACUCAUUCCCGGAUACGCGGUUCCACUCACGGCACAGAGAGAGACAAUCACAUAAUUGCUUGGAGCGUAGGAGAGUGUUGACAUACUUACAUGGGAGGACUCAGGUCUACACACACAACAUAUAUACCGACGGUGGAUUCUUUAUCCAUUGGAUCAAGGAACACGUGAAGUGAAGAGGAAUAGAUGCGAGAAGACACUACAAAGGAUACUCUACAUCGUCGAUCUUGAAGAUUCCACAUGAAAUAUGUACAUGCCAAGGUAUGUAAUUCAGAUAGAGUUAAACGGCCGAAUUGAAUUUGUGGAAGUUUCUGCACUAUCAUUUUUUACAUUUACAUGUUAAAAAUCAUGAUACUAAUUAGAAGACACAAGUUCCUACAACUAUAUCCAUAUGUUCUAUUUACACACUCGACGGUAAUUUUAAUUUGGGUCCAAAUUUGCAACUAGUUGUACUCUGGGCCAACAUGUUAGUCUAACAUGAAGUGAUGAUUUCACUGACAAGUAUGUAACUGAACGGUCUUACCCAUAUUUCUGAAAAAUAGUGAAAAGUAUGUAAAUUUUACUUCAGUGCAAUUUUCCAUGUUCGCCACAUUGUUGGCCUUCUAAAACGACGUCCUAUCACAUCCCUCUAGAAGUCCAUUUGAUCUAAUCAGAGGGGGGCAAUAAUUUCUUGAUCAUCAAGUGUGGCCUAUCUUUCUGUUCUAUAUAACUCAGUGAAAAAAUAGCGAACUAUAGCGUCGCUAAUAGCACACUAUAGCGUUUCUCAUAAUUGUCUCGCUAAAUAAAUCAGUGUACAAUUCCUCGCUAAUAGCACGCUAUAGCGGGAUAUAGCACAUUAAUAGCAUAUUUUAAGGGCCACACUAUUUUGUCAUAGCACGUUACAUUUUUCCAUUGAUACAAAUGUAGUAUUUCUAGAAGAUUUGAUCUUCUAUGUCAUCAAUUCAUCCACUAUAAAUGUGCAUGCAUGAUAUAUGGUCAUCUUGUAAAAAUGUAUUUGUCGUUGUAAUUUUUUAGUCGGUGUAGAGCAUCAGCAUUAACUGAUGAAAUAUUGAGAUUAUAUUUUAAUGUUAACCACAUUUAAGAGUAAAUAUUUCCUAAAUAUACUCAUUAAAUGUGGCAAAUAUUAAAGUUUUUCUCAAUAUACUCAUAAAAUGUGGCAAAUAUUAAAAUGUUUCCUCAGUUAAUUCUGAUGUUAGAAAAACUUACAAGGACAACACAUUUUCAAAGCUGACUAUAUAUCAUGCAUGGUCACUUGCACAUAUAUAUUGCAUGAAUUAAUGCCUUAAAAGCGAAAUCUUAUCUUUUAUAAAUACUGCAUUUGUAUAGAAGUGAUAGAUAUUUUGUCUCAAUGCCCACAAAUUUAAUUGCAGAAAGACUGCACUUGUAAGUGAUUCGUAUUUUAAUUAUGAUAUCUUCACCAUGCACAAACCAUUGUGAUGUCUUCACAUACCCUGCUAAAAAUAUAUUAAUAAUAUCAAUACGUCUUGAUACACGCUGAACCCUAUAAAAUGCGCUAUAAAAGGGAAGCAAAGGACCUCAUAUGGAAUACAAAACCAAAACUAGAUCUGCAACACUUCUAAUCUUAAGACGCUAGCGUCUAGCUUUUUUUUUUCUAAAAUGGGGAGUACCAUUUCGAUGGCCCUCCUCUUGGUCUUUGCAGUCCUGUUGCUCAACGCCCAUCUCGGGUCGUGCGGCUGCUUCAAGCGCAUCUUUGCAUUCAGCGAUUCCAUCAUCGACACGGGCAACUUCCGCUCAGGUUCGAUCUGGGCCCCCCCUUAUGGAGGGACCUACUUCCACCAUCCCACAUGCCGCUGCUCCGACGGGCGUCUCAUUGUGGACUUCUACGAUAAGUGCACAUACGCACGCAGGUGUACUUCACUCAUGCUCGAUUUCUGAAUUUGGUUUGUGUGUCAGCGCAAGCGUUGGGCCUGCCACUGCUGCCGCCGAGCGGGCCUGAGGAGAAGACGGGGAAGUUCCCGACCGGUGCCAACUUCGCCGUGUUAGGCUCUAUUGCCCUGAGCCCGGACUACUACAGUAAAAGGUAUAACUUUAGUAUGUCCCACUGGUGCCUCGACUGGGAGCUCGGUUCUUUCAAGACAGUGCUCGCACGGAUAGCUCCUGGAAAAGGUAAGUACUCAUGCAACGAAAUAUAUCACACAUUUCUUCCUGCAUUAGUUAGCUAAUUCGUUUUUUUGUGUGUGAUCAGCUGCCACCAAACGUCUCCUCAGCGAGUCCCUCAUCGUCUUUGGAGAGAUCGGUGGCAACGACUAUAACUUAUGGUUCUACGAUCGCCAGCGCAGUCGUGACACGCCCUAUAAGUUCAUGCCCGACGUGAUCGCCCGCAUAGGCUCCGGGGUCCAGGAGGUGAUCAACCUUGGUGCCAAGACGAUCCUUGUUCCUGGAAACUUCCCCAUCGGGUGCGUCCCGGUUUACCUGAGUGGGCACAAGACAAACAAGUCCACUGACUAUGACCAAUUCGGCUGCCUCAAGUGGUAUAACAAGUUCUCUCAGAAGCACAACCAACUGUUGAGGCAGGAGGUUGGCCGGGUUAGGUCUCGCAACCCUGGCGUGAAGGUCAUCUACACCGACUACUAUGGCGCCGCCAUGGAGUUUGUCAGGAACCCCAAGAUGCAUGGCAUCGACGACCCCCUGGUGGCGUGUUGUGGUGGCAACGGCCCCUAAUACACCGGCCAUGGGUGCGAUCAGAACGCGAAGGUUUGCCGUGACCCGUCCAGGUUCGCCAACUGGGACCAGGUUCACAUGACCGAGAAGGCAUACAGUGUCAUCGCCAAUGGGGUGCUCAACGGCCCGUAUGCGGACAUUCCGUUGCUCCACGCUUGCCAGGAGAAUUUCCUUUCGAGACUUGAAGAAAUGUUGUUGCAACCAAGAUCUGUUACACGCUAGCUUCUUGGAAUUUUAAAUCUUGCAUCACCAUCUCAAUUGGUCAUGAAUGAAAUGGUUGGAUCUGUUGCUGGAAUUUGGUCUGUUUUGGGCCAGCUCAAUAGCCAUUCUCAGAAUUCCUAAUAAAUCGUACCUCAUUCCCAUACUGCUAGCUUAAUAGGAGUUGGGCCUCCUUAUAAGGGAGAUUGUUUCCCCACACAUGUAUGAGCAUGAGAAGAGGAGAGACAUAUGCGCACGCUCGUUCUCCGCCACCUGCCUCGCCUCGGCAUGACGCCCGCAUGCCGCGGAAACGAGUCGUUGUCUAAAUUUUAGUGAUGCGCUGAAAAGUUUUUGCUGUAGUGGAGAUUGAAUACGGACACUGCCCCUUCGGAUGCUGCAUGUUUGGUUCGCCUCCUGUCUCUUCGUUUUAUCUCCUGUCACUGCCAGUUCGCCUCCUCCUGUGCCUAUAAAAGAGAGGCCACUCCUCUCCAGAGAAACACACCAGACAACACUUGCAUCACACCACCGAGUUCCUGAGCAUUAAGCUACUGCUACAAUCUUCCCCAUCCCAGCUUUGCGGUGUGCACCACAAGUUGGCAUAGUAGGCAUCUGAAACCUCACCUCUUUGAGUCCUGUACGGGAGAAUGGUGAUGAGCAUUUGUGGGGAGCGCUCUGCAUGCCUACUGAACUCUUCAUAAUGGGUGGAAUGGACGCCAACGAUCACUUCCCCAACGACGACUUCUUCCCUGACACCGACAACCUCUUCGACGACAUGGGCGACAACGCCAACGCCAACGCCAAUGCAACCACCACUGCUUAGUGUGUGUUCAUAUCUUUUUUGUUUGAGAUCAUGCUGAGUUUCUUGUUCUAGCAUCUGUUCUAGAUAUGCUCUAUUGAAGUUCACAACUUCAGAUGCUAUUCGCCUACUCUCUUUUAGAUAGUAUGAUUUGUCUUGUCUCUGUUAUUGGGGUCAUGUUUUAUCUUCUGUUUCUGUUAAUUAAACCAUAUGAUAAAUUGCUCAUAUUUCCAACAUCUGUCACAUGAAUAUGUUUGUACUAGAGGGUAACGCGCACUUCGUUGCACCAUUUUCACUUGUUUGAUAAGUCCUUUUUUUGUUAGUGGGCUGCUCGUUUCAUCUUUGCCUGUCUUGGAUUGGGCUUUAGUUGCCCUGGAGUUGGAGGUAUUUUCGUUGGCUGUUACCAAUCUGUUCUGUUAGUGCAGGCAGUGAAUGUGUGAAGCAACACAGGCAAUGAAGUACACAGCCAGACAAAGAACAUGUACUUCUUAACUUAACUGUUGUAAUGUUAGUUAUCUUAGUAACAUAGAGACACAUAUGAAAAUAACAAAUGUAAAACAUGCAAAGGAAAAGGAGGACGAAGAGCAUGCUGCAGAAAGAGACAACAGAAACCAUCAGUGAAAUAUAUCAAACAUUGUGUCAUCACUGGUUGGAAAAAGUGCACUGGCUAACAACUUCAUUUUGUCUUUCUCGUUGAGAUAAUAAUACAACCGUUGCCUCCAUUCUCCCAAACAUAUUCAUGUAGCGACACAAUCACAGAAAACAUAACCACACAACAUACCUUGCAAAAGGAAGGUGUAGCUAAGGGAGCCCUAAUAACGAAGUGACAUUAGUAAAGUAGGGACAUUGUGAACAUGACCAUUCAAAACCAGACUCGAUAAGCAGCUAGAGAAGGGCUACUCUAGUUUUGCAAAUAGUGACAUCACACAAUAUGCUAGUACAUUGCUUAAAUUAACAUCGCUACACAAGUACUAGUAAGGCAGAUGCAGAGGCCGGGGGUCAUCCUCCUUUUCUAAAAAAAAAGGUACUCGUAAGGCAUACCUUAUGGAGCUAUCCUCUGAAAUUGAUUUAUGUCUUAUAAUGGAGAAUACACAAUACAAAAAAAACAAAGAUUUAGUUGCAGUACCGACGAAUAUCUAAAACUGAAAAAAGGAAAGCAAACUAUUCUGCUACUACCAUCUCUACAAACAGGGCAUGUUCUUAUCUAGUACUAGUAUGAUUUAGUGGACAAACCUCUACGUCUGCAAAAAAAAGAGAAGCAAACAUAAAAAUUAUAUAUUUUCUUACUAUAUAUUAUUAAAAUAGGAGACAACCAAGACACCAUAUUCUUACACACAUGCUAAAAUUCAAACCAUAGAUUGGAUAAAGGUCGAGAUUUAAAAAUUAACACAUCUAAAAUAUGUACGUAUAGUCAUAUACGCAAUGACAUGAUGACUAAUGUUAAAUCAUAUUGGCAAGACUCACGGAAAGUCCAUGUGCAUGUUUGAAAAAAAGGGCCGUAUAUUAGCAAGAUCCAUGGAAAGAGAGUCCAUGUGUGUUUCAAACCCGAACGAUGGGGGAGGUUUUGAACUAAUGACCUCUUGCGAGAGCACGGGGCUUUUCGCCAAUGGGGUGGAGAGGGGGUUCAUGAACAUUCGUAUUAAAACAAAUUUUUAUAUAAGCUUUUUUUGUUUUUAGUUCAUCCAAAAGUCCUACUUUUUUUACAUUCCCACAUGUCAGUUUUAUUAUAAGAGGUUGUCACUUUUUUUUAUUAUAGAAGGAUGCCAUUUUAUUAUACGAGGUUGCAUGUUUAUUAUAAGAGGAUGUCAAUUUUGUUAUUAGAGGAUGGCAAUUUUAUUAUAAGAGUAUGCCCUUUUUAUUUUCUAAUAGGAUGGCAUUUUUACUAAUGUGAGAAUGGCAUUUUUAUUAGGAUGGAAUUCUAUUAGAAUAUGAUACCAAUUUUAGCAUGUUUAUUAUUAAGGGAUGGUAAUUUUAUUUCAUAAGAGCAUGACUUUUUUUUUAAUUUUUGCAAUAGUAUGGGCAUUUUAAUUAUUGUGAGGAUGACACUUUUAUUAUUUUAAAAGGAUGACUUUUUUUAUAUUUAGAGGUGACAUUUGUUUUGCUGACACUGUUUUUACACAAGAUUUUUGGGUGGUGACUAGGAACAUUGCUACUUUUGUAGCAUUUUUUUAAUUUUUUGAGUUUUGUCCAUGGCAUUUUCUCAACAAAAAAACCCUAUUUAGUGGACCUUUGGGCCAACCGGGGGUAACAAUGGCUUGGGAGGCUCAUCCUGUCCCAAGAUACUGCGCGGGAGCUAUAUAUCGCCUUUCGCGAGAUGGAAGCUCCUCUCUCUGAAGCUAAUUGCUCUUCACGCUAGAUACUGGGUCGUCCCAUUAGCAAACCUUUUAAAAAAGGGAGAGGGCAAAGGGAGUGAGGACAAGAUUCAAGCCCCGCACUAAGUGGUUCCUUCGUAGAACUGCUAGCUAGUACGCCAUGGGCAAGUUUGUGUUAAAUAAAUAUGGCGCGACCUACUUGACCUAAAAUAGCCGGUUUUCUUCACCGAUUUACUUGUUUUUGUUUUGACACCGGGAACUUCAGUUUUUCUCAGUUUUCACUGCUUUUUUCUCUAUUCUUCUUUGUUUUUUUCUUUCUCCACACUUUUUCUAUACAUGUUUAACUUUUUUUUGAAUGCUUAAUUAGCAUUUUUGAAAUAAGAUUUAACAUUUUGUAAUACAUGUUCAACAUUUUUUGUGCACACAUUAAAAAAA